GCGUUCUUUUCACGUACGAUCAUGGUUCAAAGACAUUUAAACAUAGAAGGAAAUUAAAUAGAACUAUUUGUACAUUUUAUUAUGAAAGUAAAUUUUAUUACUCAAAAGUGGUUACAAUACUUGACCCUUUUAGGUCAUUACAAAGAGUUGAAAUAUCGGGUUGUCACAUCAUCCCCCCGUUAGAGAGAAUUUUGUCCCGAAAUUUAAAGUAGUAAAGAUACUAGUGAACAUGAAAGAGAUGAGGGUACUUUUGUUUCAUCUGAUCUUCGCGUUCCCAUGUGAAUUCAGGUCCCCGCUUGGCGUUCCAGCGAACCUUCACGAUGGGUAUGCGACUUUGUUUUGUUUGUUUGACCUCUCGGUCCAUGAUUUCUACUGGUUCUUCCACAAAGUUGAGGCUCUCGUUGAUCUCGAUCUCGUCGAGUGGAAUAACAAGAGUCUCAUCGGACAGACACUUUUUCAAGUUUGAGACGUGGAAGGUUGGAUGUAUGUUUCUAAGUUCACGCGGUAAGUUAAGCUUGUAAGCCACAAGGCCGAUUCUGGCAAGAAUCUUGAAAUGCCCUAUGUAUCUUGGAUUUAGUUUCCCACGCUUUCCAAAGCGUAUUAAACCCUUCCACAAUGUGACCUUUAAUAAAACGUGGUCUCCUACCUGGAAUUCCAAAGGUUUCCUCCUUUGGUUAGCGUAGCUUUUCUGUCAGUCUCUAGAGGCUUUCAAUCGUUCACGAAUCUGAACGAUCUUCUCUGUCGUUUCUCGUAUGAUUUCCGGACCGGUGAGAGUGCUUUCAGGAACUCUUCCUCUAGCUAACUGGGUAUCGCCAACUUCAGUCCAGCACAGAGGGGAUCUGCACUUUCGACCAUAGAGGGCUUCAAACGGAGCAGCCUUUAUGCUUGUAUGAUAACUAUUGUUGUAUGAAAAUUCGACAAGGGGUAAAUGAAUAUCCCAUGCCUUUCCAAAGUCAAUCACGCAGGCUCUCAGCAUGUCUUCUAAAGUUUGUAUUGUUCUCUCACUUUGUCCGUCUGUCUGUGGGUGGUAGGCUGUACUCAUGUCUAGCCUAGUUCCCAGGGAACUUUGUAGUGACUGCCAGAAUCUUGAAGUGAAUCUACUAUCUCGAUCGGAGAUAAUGGAUAUCGGAACACCAUGCAGUCGCACUACUUCCCUUAAGUAAGUUCUUGUAAGCUUCUCCAUUUUGUCAGUCUCCUUGAUGGGUAGGAAAUGCGCGGAUUUGGUCAAUCUGUCGACAAUGACCCAUAUGGUAUCGAGUCCACUUGUCGUCUUGGGUAACUUGGUUAUGAAGUCCAUAGUAAUCCGCUCCCAUUUCCAUUCUGGUAUCUCUGGUUGUUGUAGUAAUCCUGACGGUUUCUGAUACUCGACCUUAACCUUAGCGCAAGUAAGGCAUUUACUUACGAAGGUAGCAAUUUCUGCUUUCAUGUUAGGCCACCAGUACAGUUUCUUAAGAUCCAGAUACAUUUUAUCUGAACCCGGGUGAACGGAAUAUCUUGAGUUGUGAGCUUCGGUCAUGACUACGUUUCUGAAACCACCAUGUUUCGGGGUCCAGAUUCGGUCCAUGAGAUAGUAGGCUCCGCCACACUUGACUUCUAGAUUCUUUUCCAUUCCUCGCUGGGAUUCACCCGCCACAUUUUCAGCUUGCAAAGGUUACAUUUGUGCCUCCUUAAUUUGUGUGGAUAAGUGGGAAUGGAUAGUCAUAGUCAGAGAUCUGACCCUCCGACUAGUGUAUUCCUUUCGAAUGAGGGCGUCAGCUACCAUGUUGGCCUUGCCAGGAUGAUAAAAAAUUUCGCAUUCGUAGUCAUUUAGUAACUCAACCCAUCGUCGUUNNNNNNNNNNNNNNNNNNNNNNNNNNNNNNNNNNNNNNNNNNNNNNNNNNNNNNNNNNNNNNNNNNNNNNNNNNNNNNNNNNNNNNNNNNNNNNNNNNNNNNNNNNNNNNNNNNNNNNNNNNNNNNNNNNNNNNNNNNNNNNNNNNNNNNNNNNNNNNNNNNNNNNNNNNNNNNNNNNNNNNNNNNNNNNNNNNNNNNNNNNNNNNNNNNNNNNNNNNNNNNNNNNNNNNNNNNNNNNNNNNNNNNNNNNNNNNNNNNNNNNNNNNNNNNNNNNNNNNNNNNNNNNNNNNNNNNNNNNNNNNNNNNNNNNNNNNNNNNNNNNNNNNNNNNNNNNNNNNNNNNNNNNNNNNNNNNNNNNNNNNNNNNNNNNNNNNNNNNNNNNNNNNNNNNNNNNNNNNNNNNNNNNNNNNNNNNNNNNNNNNNNNNNNNNNNNNNNNNNNNNNNNNNNNNNNNNNNNNNNNNNNNNNNNNNNNNNNNNNNNNNNNNNNNNNNNNNNNNNNNNNNNNNNNNNNNNNNNNNNNNNNNNNNNNNNNNNNNNNNNNNNNNNNNNNNNNNNNNNNNNNNNNNNNNNNNNNNNNNNNNNNNNNNNNNNNNNNNNNNNNNNNNNNNNNNNNNNNNNNNNNNNNNNNNNNNNNNNNNNNNNNNNNNNNNNNNNNNNNNNNNNNNNNNNNNNNNNNNNNNNNNNNNNNNNNNNNNNNNNNNNNNNNNNNNNNNNNNNNNNNNNNNNNNNNNNNNNNNNNNNNNNNNNNNNNNNNNNNNNNNNNNNNNNNNNNNNNNNNNNNNNNNNNNNNNNNNNNNNNNNNNNNNNNNNNNNNNNNNNNNNNNNNNNNNNNNNNNNNNNNNNNNNNNNNNNNNNNNNNNNNNNNNNNNNNNNNNNNNNNNNNNNNNNNNNNNNNNNNNNNNNNNNNNNNNNNNNNNNNNNNNNNNNNNNNNNNNNNNNNNNNNNNNNNNNNNNNNNNNNNNNNNNNNNNNNNNNNNNNNNNNNNNNNNNNNNNNNNNNUGAGAGAGGUUUCAUUGGUGACAUUUUUGAGUGUUCGGCUUUGCAUUACAGGGUCCGUAAACCCCGUUACGCCUUGUUUAAGGAUCUUGCAUACUCUCGAUGAGUAUGCGACAUUGUUUUAUCGGUUUGGCUCGCCACGUACCUCAGUUUUAGGUGAAGGAGAUCUAGGUGUACGCACUUUUUGAUUUAGUAUCUCUCGUUAGAAUAGAGAGUUGUUUAGGAGUUACUUAUCAUAAGCUCUAGUACUUACGGCAAAAUGAGUGGACCGGUUUGACUUGUUGACUUUCGUUGACUUUGACUUGACUGAAAAUUGACGGUUGUUACAAUCCUUUUGAGAUGCACCAGGAUUUGAUGGACCGCGACCAUCAGAGUGCUCGUCAAGAGCGAUAUAAAAUCAUCUCCUUCAUGACAACAACCCGAAUGAAGUAUGGUGAACCCAUCACGGGCCACCUACAGAAAAUGCAAAGGUAUGUGGACCGUUUGCUGAAACUGAAUGUGAACUUCAACGAGGAGUUGGCAAUUGACAUCAUUUUUCACUCCUUACCUUUGUGUUAUGAUCAAUUCCGUAUGACAUACCACAUGAACAAGGAGGAAGUUACACUUUGAAAACUUCGAGGACUCUUGAAGACCACAGAAAGUGGUCUUAAGAGUAAAUCAGUUGUUACCACUCCUACUCCUACCGCGACCCCUGUCUUGGCAAUCGGGCAAGGCAAAGGAAAGAAGAGGAAGAGCCCUUCGAAGGUUACCAAGGGUAAGACCCUUGACAGCUCCUCUUCGAGUGGAACCAAUAAAGGUUUCAUCACUCCUUCUUCUAACCCUAAAGAGGCUGAAUGCUUCUAUUGCAAUGAAAAGUCGCACUGGAAGCAAAACUGCCUAACGUACCAUGUAGGUAUAUACACUAUAUUGUCUAAUAAUUCACCCCAUUCUAAUUCUGUUCCUUGAUACAGGAUGUGGUAUUCAUAUAUGUACUGAUUUGCAGGGACUAAGGAUAAGUGAGACUGUGGACCAUGGGAAGAUAAACUUGAUCAUGGGGAAUAGGAAAGCCUCACAUGUCACCAAGAUUGGAGUUUAUUCUUUGUUGCUAAGUAGUGGAAUAGUGUUAGAUUUGAAUAAGUGUUGUUACUCGUCUGAAAUGGCGAGAAAUAAUAUUUCCUUUCAUGGUUUGUACAAACAAGGUUUUACCUUUUCGUUUAAUAAUGAAACUGGUGGUAUUAAUGCUUUCUUUAAUAAUUUUCUUUAUUUUAAAGCAUUACCUUGUGAUGGUGUAUAUGAAAUGUGUCGGUUGUUGAUAACCUAGGAAAUAAUGUGUUGUGUAUCGAUUCUUCCACUAGUUUGGAUAAAGCAUCAUUAUAGCAUUGUCAUCUUGGACAUGUAAGCAAUAAACGCGUAGGCCAACUCCAAAAGGAUGGAGUCUUGGAGUCGUUUGACCUAAAAUCAGAUGAUAGUUGUGAAUGUUGUUUGCUUGGUAAAAUGACACAGUCACCCUUCUCUGGUACUUGUGCUAGCGGUGAGGGUUUGUUAGAUCUCAUACAUAUUGAUGUGUGUGGACCCUUCAGAACGACCACAAGGGAUGCUAUCGCUUCUAUGUGACUUUCACUGAUCAUUUUAGUAGAUAUGGAUAUGUCUACUUAAUCAAGCAUAUGUCAAAGACCUUUGAGAGAUUCAAAGAGUUCAAACAGGAAUUGGAGAAUUAGUUGGGCAGGAAGAUUAAGAUGCUUCGAUGCGAUCGAGGUGGUGAGUAUCUUGGUACAAAGUUCGUUGACAUCUUAAGGAAUGUGGCAUUAUCUCACAAUUGACACCUCCCAGGACACCACAGCUUAAUGGUGUGGUUGAGAGGCGCAAUGGAACCUUGUUGGAUAUGGUUCUUUCUAUGAUGAGUUGAGCUUCACUACCAAUCUCAUUAUGUGGGUAUGCCUUAGAGACUGCCACCCAUAUCCUUAAUCUAGUCCCUACAAAGAAAGUUGCCAAAACACCUCAUGAGAUGUGGACCGGAAAAGUUCCCAAUCCGGACCACAUUAAGAUUUGGGGUUGCAAGGCUUUCCUGAGGCGCGAGUCUCACGAUAAGCUCGAACCUUGAAGUGAGAGGUGUAUAUUCAUCGGCUACCCUCGGAGGUCCUUCAGUUACCUCUUUUACAUACCUAGUGAUAAUGUGGUCUUCGUAGAAAGGAUAGGAGUCUUUCGCGAGAUAGAAUUCAUGAGCCAAGGAAACACUGGGAUGCAGAAUGUCCAUGAAGAAAUUCAAGAGUCAAGUGGUGAAGCAACCUCAAAUGCUAGCAAUCAACCUGAGGAUGAAACUCCUGUUGAUCCGACCGAAGAGUCUGUACCUCUGAGGCACUCCACGAGAGUUAGGAAUGCACCUUAGCUUUACUAUGGAUUCAAUAUUACUACAGAAGGUGAUACACUUAUCAGUGAUAGCACACUGGUAAGCCUUGAUGAACCUAACAGGUACACGAAAGCCAUGUCAGGCCUUGAGGCUGCUAAAUGGAAAUAGGCUAUGGACGGAGAGAUACAAUCCAUGUACGACAAUCAAGUUUGGAACUUGGUUGACAAUGUGCCAGGUCGUAAGACAGUCGGGUGCAAAUGGAUCUUCAAGAAGAAGAUCGAUAUCGAUGGUAAUGUACACACUUAUAAGGCACGACUGGUUGCAAAGGGCUUUUCUCAAACUCUUGGAGUUGAUUACGAUGAGAGCUUUUCACCAGUAGCGAAGAUUAAGUCUAUGAGGGUUAUGUUAGCCAUUGUUGCAUUUCAUGAUUAUGAAAUAUGGCAAAUGGAUGUCAAAACAACUUUCCUUAAUGGAAAGUUGGAUGAGGAUGUUUACAUGAGUCAGCCACAGGGUUUUGUGAGUACAGAGUACCCUAACAGAGUUUGUAAGCUUGAGAAAUCCAUCUACGGGUUAAAGCAAGCAUUUCGCAGAUGGAAUUUUUGUUUGGAAGAGAAAGUCAAAAAGUUUGGCUUUUUGAGAAGUGAAGAUGAAUCUUGUGUACAUGUCAUGGCUAGUGGGAGUAUAGUUAGCUUUUUGGUACUGUAUUUGGAUGACAUACUACUCAUAGGAAAUGACAUCCGAACUCUGUAAGAACUAAAGUCCUGGCUUGGGAAGUGUUUCUCUAUGAAGGACCAUAGAGAAGUUGCCUAUAUCCUAGGGAGAAGAAUUUUGAGAGACAGGAGUAAAAGAUAAUUGGAGUUUGUCAGAAUACCUACUUGGAGAAGGUGCUGAAUAGAUUCAGCAUGCUGACUUCCAAGAAAGGACAAUUACCGAUCCAGAGUAAUGCCAUACUGAAUACGAGUCAGAGCCCGAGUACAGAGGAUGAGAUAGCAGAGAUGAGUUGAGUACCGUAUGCUUCCGCUAUAGGCUCGAUCAUGUAUGCUAUGACUAGUACUCGUCUCGAUGUGGCAUUUUCAUUGAGCAUGGUCAGCAGAUAUCAGGGGAACCUUGACAAGGCUCACUAGACUACGGUAAAGAACAUUCUCAAGUACCUGCGGAGGACUAAGGACUAGGUCUUUACCCUCGGUGGGAGUGAUGACUUGAGAGUAGUAGGGUACAAUGAUGCUAUCUUUCAGAUUGAUAGAGAUAAUUUCUGCACUCAGUCAGCCUGGGUCUUUGUGACAACCCAAAACUUUCCAUUUUGUACAACCAUCCACUUCAAUGGAAGUCAAGAACUGAUCCUGCUAACUUUCAAGCUUUUUGGAAUAAGUUUGAGUGUUUUAAAGAUAGUACAUCAGGAGAUAUCAGGAGAGAGGAUACCCUAGAGUUUAUUAUCUAGCAAAACAUGCCCAAAACUUCAAUAGUUUGGAGUUUACGGUCCAAAAUGGUAUUGGGACCGUAAACCCUAAAGACUAUAUAAGUGAGACUUUGAAAUUUUAUUCACGUUUUCACAUUUCCAAGAUUAUAGCCAUUUCUCUCUCAAGUAUCAUCCCAUUUUCCUUCAAGAUCUUCAACGUGUAGGGGUUUCUAGCCCUAAUAUGUUUAGAUCAAGUGUUAAACAUCAACAAAUCAUCCAAAUACCCCAAGGAAAGGGUGUUCACGGCCUAAGAUCUUCUUGGACCGUGAACACUAAAAAUGAGGACAAAUUGCGCCUUAUGUCCCUUUAGACCUUGGAAUCAAACAUAGAAACAAUCCUUGACAUGUCUAGACCUUAAGAGCAUCAAGAAAACACCCAAAGAUCACAAGGAACAAGUGUUUAUGGUCCAAGAAUCUCCUUGGACCGUAAACACUAAAAAAGGUGCAAAAGUGUUCCUAUAGUGUCCCUAUUCUCUUGCCAAACCUUGGAAACAAACCUAAAACCUUCCUUUGAUGUGUUUAGCACAUGAAAACCCCAAGAAUGUCCCAUGUAUAUGUUGGAAUAGUGUCUAAGGCUGCAACUAUAUUGGGCAAGUACUUGACCCGGUUGUGCAUGGUCCUUUUGGGUUGCCUUCACCAUAGAAACUUGAUGGGAUGAUUUAUUGAGAGAGAGUAAAUAUUAUAAAGAAUAAUAUAUGGUUAUUUAAUUAAUAUAAGUCAUAGAAUUAAUUGGAAUUAAUUUGGUGACUUAAAGAGAUUAAUUAAAUAAAGGGGUAUAAACUGUCAAUUGUUUGAUAGUUAAACUUUAGACUGUAAAUCCAUUGGGAUAUGCUUUGGACGAAUUCUAAGAGUGUUAGGAUAGCCAAAAUCGUCCAAAGGCUUAUCUAUGGAAUGGAUUUGGAUAGCCUUAAGAGAAGAUUAUCCAAUUAGGGUUUAGGUUGUAACCCUUAAGGAGUCUACAAGUAUAAAUAGACCCUAUGGCAUGGGGAAUUCGACACCUGACCUAAAGUAAGGAACCUCUGGUCGAAAUUCCUCCCCUCUCCUCUCUCCCAAAUCAUCCUCCUUGCUUUGGUGUUUGUAAGCCAUUAGAGGAGUGACAUUUGUGACUCUAGAAGCUCCAAGACCUCAAGAUCAACAAGGAACUCAAAGGUAUGGUUCUAGAUCUGUUUCAAUGUUUUUAUUUAACCUAAUUAGUCAUUAGAAGACUUGGAUUCAAAGCAUGUUUAAUAAAAAGCCUAGAUCCAAGCAUUAGGGUUUUGCAUGCGCACAUAGGAAAGUUCUUAUGGCUAAAACCCAUCAGUGGUAUCAGAGCCUAGCUUGGUUUUCUUUAAAUUGUUGCUUGAUUAACUGAAACAAACCUGCAAAAUUCGAUUUUUAGGUUUCUGAGUCACUGACUCGGCGAGUCCCAAGGUGGACUCGGCGAGUAGGCCUGACUCGGCGAGUCCCCUUGUGCACUCGGCGAGUCCAGGCGUCAGGAAUGGCCAGAUUCGGGAUUUUUUCAUAAUUAUCUUAUGGAAACUUACCUUAAUCAUAAUAGAUCAAUCUAAAUCCGAUUUUUUGAUAUAUAUGACUAUUAUCUUGAUCUAGUUAAAGGUAUUUAUCAACUAAUAAAAUAUUUAAUUUCCUUAUAUGAUAAUUAAUUAAUUAUUUUAAUUAUUUUGGUAAUUAUCUUUCAAAGAAAUCUUGAAUAAAAUCAAAUAUAGAUAAUUAGGAUAUUAAUUGUUAAUUGGAAUUAUUUGUUAUUUGAUCCUCCAUGUUUUAAAUGUUUAAAACUUACCCUCAAGUUUUGAAAUUUAUAUUUGUGAUUAAAAGUUUUAAUUUAGACAACUUAAAUUUCAAACCCUAGAUUUUAAAAGUUUUAAAAUACAACCCUAUACUAAUAUGAUAUUACUAGAAUAAUAUAUAUAUGUAUAACUAAAUGCUAGUCUUACCGUUAGUAGGCCUCAUUCACGAAGCCGAUCUAUAAGGUGGGUAUAAGGUUGCGGCCUAUAAAAUGGCGCUUAAUGGGUGUACACUCACACCCACCGCUUGCUUGAUUGGUGGAGGGUCGUUAGCCGAACGGGUAGGAUAGGGCAACCUCAUCCUCUCAUUAAAAGUAUAAUAAGAAAUAUAAAGUAACUACACAUAUUUUUAAAAUUUCCCAAUCCUAGUUACUUUAGGAAAAGUGAAUUGAUGCAAUCCCAUGAAAUUACACUUUGCACCUUGCUAAGAUGUUAGUGGAGCGUGUGUGGUUUACCGGCACACUAAUUGGUUCUAAGCGAAGGUGGCAAAGGGUGAUUCAUUGUUUAUCAUAGUUCGAUGGAGCGUGUGUGGUUUACCGGCACAUCGAAUAGGUGAUCGUUACAAUGAAGGCACCAUGUGAAUUUGCAUGGUAAUUCACACCCGCUUUGUGAUCCUCGGCAUCCCAGUCACAAACAAGAGGGGCAUAUCGAGAUUUAAACAUGCCAUUGAAUAGUUUCAAUGAAUCUCAUCCGAACCUAGGAAUUCUCAAAAACACUUAGGACUAAUAGUUUAAGUUUUGUGAUGGAGAAUUAGUGAAUCGUCAUUCACUUACCUUCAAUUUAUUUGCAUGUUAGAUUACGGCAUCCCUUUUCUAGUAUGUAAAUGUUAUUGUUGGAUCCUAGCCCUAAUUUUCUUAUUGGGUGAUAAUUAGGGAUUCUUAUUCUAAUCUAUCUUUGUCCUUUUCUAAUUGUAGAUGUCGAACGCAAACAACGCUGCUGCUAGUUCUUUCACGUUGAUGAGCCUUUGCCAAAAGGUCACCUUCGAUGGAACGAACUUUAGCGAAUGGAUAAGAUACAUUCGCACCAUUGCUCGCUAUGAGGAUAAGGAGUAUGUCCUCGAUGAGAAGCUCGAGAAAAUCAACCCCGAAAUUGCUACUCCCGCCGAAAUCACCGCCUUUGAAACUCAUGAGCGAGAUGCAACGAAGGUACAUUGCAUCAUGAUCGCCACCAUGAACUCCGAAUUCCAAAAGUCCUACGAGGACAUGUACCCGUACGAGAUGCACCAAGACUUAUUGGAGAGGUACCACCAAAACGCGAGACAAGAGAGGUACGAGAUUUUCACUAACAUGAUUUCCGCGAAGAUGGGUCAUGGAGAAUCUCUUACCGUGCACUUGCAAAAGAUGCAAAGGUAUGUCGACCGCCUUCGCAAGUUAAAUGUUGACUUCGGUGAGGAUUUGGCGAUCGACAUGGUGCUUCACUCUUUGCCUCCGAUGUACAAUCAAUUUAGGAUGACCUACCACAUGAACAAAGAAGAGGUCACCCUAAGCAAGCUCCAAGGUCUCUUGAGGGUUGCUGAGAGCAACUUCAAAGACAAGUCUGUUGCACCUACUCCCAAUCCGCCCGCUGCUCCUGUCUUGGCUAUUGGACAAGGGAAGGGAAAGAAGAGGAAAGCUUCAUCGAAGAACUAUCGCAAGGUGAAAGCCCGAGAUGGUGCCUCUUCUAGUGGGACCAAAGUUGAUCCCGCUAAGCCCUGCUCUAACCCGAAGGAGGCAGAGUGCCACCACUGCCACAAGAUAGGACAUUGGAAGAGAAGCUGCCCGGAUUACCUGCAAGCAAUCAAAGAAGGAAAGAUCAAGCCAUCUUUCGCAGGUAUAUAUACAAUCAAAUCUAACGAUUCUAAUCAUGCUAUUUCUUGGGUUCUUGAUACCGGUUGUGGUUAUCACAUUUGUUCUAAUGUGCAGGGACUAAGAAGAAGUAGGGAUGUGGAGCAAGGAAGGAUCAAUCUAAUCAUGGGGAACAGAAGAUCGUCGCCUGUGACCAAGAUUGGAGUGUAUUCCUUAGUGCUUAGGAAUAGUUUAGUUUUAGAUUUGAACAAUUGUUGCUAUUCGCCAGAAAUGGCAAGAAACAUCAUUUCAUUUCAUGGUUUAUAUAGACAAGGAUUUAGAUUUUCUUUUAAUAAUGAGAAUGGUUCUAUUUUGGCUUAUCUAAAUGGUGUCUUUUACUUUGAAGCUAUACCAUGUAAUGGAAUAUAUGAAACCGUUAUGAUUGUUGAUAACUUAGGAAAUGAUGUUUUGAAUAUUGAUUCUUCCACUAGUAUGGAUAAAGCAUCCUUGUGGCAUUGUCGUCUUGGACAUGUCAACAAGAAACGCAUAGCCCAACUCCAAAAGGAUGGAGUGUUGGAGUCAUUCGACCUUAGGGAAGAUGACACAUGCGAGUCUUGUUUGCUUGGAAAGAUGACUAAGUCACCCUUCACGAGUACAUGUGAAAGGGGCGAGGGUCUAUUGGACCUAAUACAUACCGAUGUAUGUGGACCGUUUAGAUCAACCACGAAGGAUGGGAACCGCUUCUAUGUGACUUUUACCGAUGACUAUAGUAGAUAUGGGUAUAUCUACUUAAUCAAGCAAAAGUCAGACACCUUUGAAAAGUUCAAAGAGUUCAAGAAUGAAGUGGAGAAUCAAUUGGGCAGGAAAAUCAAGAUGCUUCGAUCCGAUCGAGGAGGAGAGUACCUAAGUCUUGAAUUCCACGAUUAUCUCAAGGAGUGUGGAAUAGUUUCACAAUUGACGCCUCCUAGGACACCGCAGUUGAAUGGUGUGGCAGAAAGGCGUAAUCGAACCUUAUUGGAUAUGGUUCGCUCUAUGAUGAGUCGUGCUUCACUACCAAUCUCUUUUUGGGGGUAUGCCUUAGAGACUGCCGCCCAUAUCCUUAACCGAGUCCCUACUAAGAAGGUUGCCAAAACACCUCACGAGAUGUGGACAGGGAAAGCUCCCUCGUUGGCACAUAUCAAGGUUUGGGGUUGCGAGGCUUUCGUAAGACGAGAUACUCACGACAAGCUUGAACCUCGAAGUGAGCGAUGUAUUUUCAUCGGCUACCCGCAGACAUCCUUUGGAUAUCUCUUCUAUAGACCGAAGGACAAUGUUGUCUUCGUUGCGAGGAGAGGAGUUUUCCGAGAGCGAGAACUCAUAAGCCAAGGAGACAGUGGGAGGCAAAUCGAACUUGAAGAGAUUCAAGAGUCGAUAGAUGAAGGAACCUCUACCGCUGGCACUCAACCCGAGGAGGAAACUCCGGUUGAACCGAUUGACGAAUCCUUACCUCUUAGACGUUCCGAUAGAGUUAGAGUUCAUCCCCAGUUUUAUGGCUUUCAUAUUACUACCGAAGGGGACACGUAUAUUAGUGAUGGUACACUAGUAAAUCUUGAUGAACCUAAUAGCUAUAAGGAAGCCAUGGCAGGCCCGGAGUCUGCAAAAUGGAAAGAGGCAAUGGAUAGCGAGAUCCAAUCCAUGUAUGAUAACCAAGUUUGGAAUUUGGUUGAUUAUGUGCCCGGACGUAAGACCGUUGGGUGCAAAUGGAUCUUCAAGAAGAAGACCGACGUGGAUGGAAACGUACACACAUAUAAAGCGCGAUUGGUUGCGAAGGGCUUUACUCAAACUCCCGGAGUUGACUAUGAUGAGACCUUCUCACCAGUUGCGAAGAUUAAAUCUAUUAGAGUGAUGCUAGCUAUUGCCGCAUUUCAUGAUUAUGAGAUUUGGCAAAUGGAUGUCAAGACCGCUUUCCUUAACGGAAAGUUGGCUGAGGAUGUUUACAUGGCUCAGCCAGAGGGGUUUGUGGAUCCGAAGCAUCCGGAUAGAGUGUGUAAGCUUGAGAAGUCCAUUUAUGGACUUAAGCAAGCGUCUCGCAGAUGGAAUCUUUGCUUCGAUGAGAAAGUCAAAGAGUUUGGAUUUGUACGAAGCGAAGACGAAUCUUGUGUAUAUGUCAAAGCCAGUGGGAGUAUAGUAAGCUUCCUCGUUCUAUAUGUCGAUGACAUAUUACUCAUAGGAAACGACAUCCCGACUCUGCAGGAGGUUAAGUCCUGGCUCGGGAAGUGCUUCGCUAUGAAGGACCUCGGAGAGGCUUCUUACAUUUUGGGAAUAAGGAUAGUAAGAGAAAGAAGUAAGAGACUAAUUGGACUUAGUCAGAAUACUUACUUAGAGAAGGUACUAAAACGUUUUAGUAUGGAAAACUCAAAGAAGGGAGAACUACCGAUACAAAGUAAUGCCAAAUUGAGUAAGACUCAAAGUCCGAGUACCGAAGCUGAGAUAGCAGAAAUGAGCCGAGUACCAUACGCUUCCGCAGUUGGCUCAAUCAUGUACGCUAUGACUUGUACUCGCCCUGAUGUAGCCUUCGCUUUGAGCAUGGUUAGCAGAUAUCAAGGGAAUCCUGGCAAAGCACAUUGGAUUGCGGUGAAGAAUAUCCUUAAGUACCUUCGGAGGACGAAGGAAUGGUUCUUAGUCCUCGGAGGGAGUGAUGACUUGAAGGUGCGAGGGUAUAGUGACGCCAGUUUUCAGACCGACAGGGACAACUACCGUUCGCAGUCGGGCUGGGUCUUUACCCUAAAUGGAGGAGCAGUGACAUGGAAGAGUUCCAAGCAGGAAACCGUAGCUGAUUCAACGUGCGAAUCAGAGUACAUUGCAGCGAGCGAAGCGUCGAAGGAGGCAAUAUGGCUAAAGAACUUCAUCGGUGAUCUUGGAGUUGUACCUGCCAUAAAGGAGCCAAUGGAGAUUUUCUGUGAUAACGAAGGCGCGGUUGCCUUAACCAAGGAACCGAGGGAUCAUGGUAGAUCAAGACAUAUCGACAGAAAGUAUCACUUCAUUAGACAUCGUGUAGAAGAAGGACAACUCGUAGUGAAGAGGAUAUCAUCAGAAGAUAACCCAGCAGAUCCGCUUACGAAGGGACUGAGUAGGGUUAAGCACUUGCAGCAUGCUAGGAGUAUUGGGCUGAAGGAUGAUAUUAGCAUAGAUUAGAUAGUAUUAGAAACGUGUAAUAGAUAAAUGUAAUUAACAUUUGAUGAUUAAAUAAAGGAGUUUUAUUUAUGAGUAAUGUUACUAUCUUAUGUUAAUUGUUUAGCUAUUGUUUCACUUUGCAUGUUUUGACUUCCAGAAUAAUUGAGUUUAUUAGGAAUAAUCGAAUUGUUCAAAUGGUCCACAAUCGUUCAUAUGUUGGGAGUAGAUAUGAAUGAAGAUUGUCAUGAAUUGGUGUGUAGAAUGUCUAAAUGGUGUUAGACAUAGCAAAGGAUUGCUGCAACGUUCAUGAGUGCUUAUGAACUAGUUUUGAGCAUUGGAAUAAACCCGCGCUUGCUGGAAUCACCUUAUGGAAUACGAUAUAAAAGGUGAUCGCAAGACGAUAAUAUCAUAUAGUCUUAAAACCUAGAUAUAUGGUUUAUUAUUUGUUAAUUGAUUGUACAUUGAUAAUACGAAAACGCAUCAGUAACUUGGUGUUAUAAAACGUAUUGUUGUGUAUAGUUGGUAAAUGAAUAAGUAAAUGCAUAUAAGUCGAAGUUUAUCUGUAACUUUUAUCUAAGAAGGUAAAAGCGAUAUCUCGGCCGCUCGAUGAUUUGAUUUGACUUAUGUGCCGGGCCCGGUCAGAACUGAAUUGAUGUGUUCGAUUAAGUUCUAUGUCAAAUAAAUCAGAGAUCGAGAAACCUAAAUGCUUGACUAACCAUUCCAUAGGAUUGUCAGCAUGAUAUCUAACAGAGGACUGUACGUUCCCUUAUCUAAAGGACAAGAUUGAUUAGAUCAGAGUUGACAGCGUCUUUGAGAGCUACGAUUGCAAACCGAAUUGUACUUGUAUAGUUACUAGACUUAUCCAAGUGGGAGACUGUUGGAAUAGUGUCUAAGGCUGUAACUAUAUUAGGCAAGUAUUUGAUCCGGUUGUGCAUGGUCCUUUUGGGUUGCCUUCACCAUAGCAACUUGAUAGGAUGAUUUAUUAAGAGAGAGUAAAUAUUAUUAAUAUAUUAUGAGAAUAAUAUAAUGAAUAAUAUAUUUGUUAUUUGAUUAAUAUAAGUCAUAGAAUUAAUUAGAAUUAAUUUGGUGACUUAAAGAGAUUAAUUAAAUAAAGGGGUAUAAACUGUCAAUUGUUUGAUAGUUAAGCUUUAGACUGUAAAUCCAUUUGGAUAUGCUAUGGACGAAUUCUAAGAGGAUUAGGAUAGCUAAAAUCGUCCAUUAGAGUUAUCUAGGAAUGGAUUUGGAUAGCCUUAAGAGAAGAUUAUCUGAUAGGGACUUAUCUGUAAUCCUUAAGGAGUCUACAAGUAUAAAUAGACCCUAUGGCAUGGGGAAUUCGACACCUGACCUAAACUAAGGAACCUCUGGUCGAAAUUCCUCCCCUCUCCUAUCUCCCAAAUCAUCCUCCUUGCUUUGGUGUUUGUAAGCCAUUAGAGGAGUGACAUUUGUGACUCUAGAAGCUCCAAGACCUCAAGAUCAACAAGGAACUCAAAGGUAUGAUUCUAGAUCUGUUUCAAUGUUGUUAUUUAACCUAAUUAGUCAUUAGAAGUCUUGGAUUCAAAGCAUGUUUAUUAGAAAGCCUAGAUCCAAGCAUUAGGGUUUUGCAUGCGCACAUAGGAAAGUUCUUAUGGCUAAAACCCAUCAGUAUAUGUGUUUACGGUUUGGGGAUCUCCCAAAACCGUAAACAACUCUUAGGCAUGUUUUGAUGCCCCAAACUCUUUCCUUAAGCAUAGAAACUAGCCUAGACCUUUACCUAGAAGUGUUUAGGACUUGAAAACAUCAUUUGACCAUAAGCAAUUUGGGAUUACUAACCUAAAACCAAAGGCAAAUGGUCCAAAAACCGUAAACCCCAUAAAGGGGUGAUAUGUUGCCCUAAUCGCUUCCUAAGGCUAAGACUUGAAGUUAGGAUGCUUCAAAAGGUCUUCUAGGACUUCAAAGCACCAAAUGGUCAAAGUACCAUGAGUUUACGACCAUAAACUCAUGGGUUUACAACCAUAAACUCAGGUGGAGUUGGUUACAAAACCAUAAACACCAAAUAGUGCCAUUUCACUUCCCUUUGUUGAAUCACAUGUGAUUCCAACACUUAGCCAAGAUGUUUCCUAGUCCCAGAAGGUGUUAUCUUUCAUAUAGUUGUUUAUAAACACUAUAUUCAUGUCAAUAUGUGUCCUUAUAUGCAUUUAGGACUGUUGUGUCUCAGGACUUCAUUCGUGGAACUUCUCCUCCUUACACGCAUACCCGUUUGAAUCACCCACAUCAGGUGAGUUCAUACCCCGUAAUGAAUUAUUUAACUAUUUUAACUGUUUUAAGGGGGGGAAUACUGGUUGAACACAAUGUUAAUUGUGUAAAUGUUUGUUGUUAAAUAUCCUUCAAAAUAUUACUUAUGUUAUUUAUAAGUUGUCAACACAUUUCCAAACUCGUUUAAAGUUAUGUUACUUUAUAGUUAUACAAAACUCUGUUAUUAAAGUUAAAGCAUAACUUAGUAGAGAAAUGAGUCAUUUCAGUAAUAGUCCAAGUAGAGCAUUAGUAAACUAUUAUAGGUAUAGUUUAGGAGAAUGCUAUUCAUUACUUCUAGUACAAUGAAGCAUACAAAGAAACAAUACCACAACAGAACAAACAGUGAAGAGAAUCAAACAAUAACAUAACAGAACAAACAGUGAAGAGAAUGAAACAAUACAAGAACAGAACAUAAAAAACAAGUUAGGUUGCUAUAGCAUGAGAACACACAAAAAGGAUCUAACUAUCCUAAUGAAUCACUAAUGCAUUAGUGAUAGUUAUAUUAGGCAUACAUGAUCAUAUAACUUUAAUGUGAAUUACACGGAUUGUAAGAAAUUGUUGGGGUCGCGUUUGGUUUCCUCAAUCUCUUUACAUUGAGAGCGUUUAGUAGGGGUUCUAGCUUUGACAUUAUGACCGUAAUAAAACAAAUAUGUUUUUAGACUAUUAGUACAUCCACAGGUCAUUAUAAACGACCUCUGUGUACUUGCUUCUCCCAUUACUUUCAUAAAGUGUCGGGACCACUUGAAAGUCGAUCUAUUUUCUAGUCAUGAUAGUUAUAAACUAGGGAGAAUAUAUUUCUACGUUUGACAAAGGAACAGUUGGGUUUAACUCGGAACAGAAGAUGCCUUGGUAGAAGGCUACGAUUAAAGGUUAGGAUCAUUAUGCUAGCUUUAUGAUUCCUUAAUGUAUACACUAUAGGAUACAUAUAUGCUAGUAGAUUCCGAUAGCUAAUAGGAUGUGUGCUCUUCGCUUCAAUUCAUGUUCCCGUUGGAUGUGGGCUUGAACUGAGGUCACCCAAUCUAUUAUCUACCUAAAUCUGUAUAUAUGUAUGCUUAGUAUACAUUAAGUCAUCAUAAGGGUACCAGGUAUGGAUCAGGUCAUAGGACACAGAGUCAACGCAUAAAUUUUCUAGUACUAAAGUUACUUAUCAAUGUCAGUAUUUUUGGUAUACAAAACUAGAGGUUUCCAAGAAAAGGGCUUAAUCUAUUUUAUUAAGCCAGUACAGUUUUAGAGACUUUAGGUGAGUAAACUCUAUAACACCUUAGUUUAUACACCAUGUUUAUAUAUAAAACUAAUAUCCAAUAGAUAGCUAAAUGUGUGUUUUCCGCCCGACGUCUUGUUCCCUUUGGAUUGUGGGCUUCGGGCAGAUUCACCCAGUUAACUUUCUACCCGAUAUCAGAUUAUAUAUAGCAGUAUAAACAAAGCUAUUAUAAAAGUAAUCACCGUAGUAAUUAUUUUACUAUAAGAAAUAUAGGUUUUCUUAAAAGAACUCUCCAUUAGAUAUAAAGGAACCAUUACAAACAAUUCCAUGAGUAACAAGUGAAUACACCAAGGUUAUAUAUGACAACGAUCUAACAACCAAUGGAAUGUGUGCUAUCCUCCUUACUUGUUGUUCCCCGUUGGGUUAUGAGUUUAGGGCAGAUGCGCACAAUCGAUUGUUUAUUUACUCUAAGUAUAUAUAACUUGUACCCACUUAGUACGCAUAGAAAGGCUUGUAGUGUCAUUUUACUUAACUUCCAUUCAAGUAGGAAAUAUAGGACUUUCUAGAGGAACAGGCGAACAUUUCAAAACAGAACUUACAGCUUACAUCACUUGUGCAUAUACAUGUUUAACCAUAUUUUUACAUCUUACUCACAUCACUAAAAUCUUAUGAACUCACCAGCUUAAUUGCUGAUUAACUCUUUCACAUAACUUGUAUUCUCAGGAGACUAUUAGACAGGUGCUCAUGCUGGGACUUCAGAAGAUUGAGCAUUAUAGCUUCAAGUCUUGUUUUGUUAUUUGUUUAUGACUUCUAUGUUUUGUUAACACAUACAUUGUAAACACUUUCUUUCUAAAUGAAAUGGUUGUUCAUUACUUUCUUACCAUAUACAUAUCUCGUGAUACUUGACAUGACGUCCUCCACCCCCGAAUGUUUCCGUCAUUCCGGUUUUGGGGUGUGACAGUGUUUAGCUUAAAUGGAUGAGCAAUUUCAUGGAAAAGUUCCAAGAAGGAGACAGUGGCUAAUUCAACUUGCGAAUCAGAGUAUAUAGUGGCAAAAGAGGCAGCAAAGGAGGCUAUAUGGCUAAAGAACUUCAUUGGGGACCUUGGAGUUGUACAGAUAUAAAGGAGCCUAUAGAGAUUUUCUGUGAUAGUGAAAGUGCAGUUGCCUUAGCCAAGGAACCAAGGGAUCACGGGAGAUCCAAAAACAUCAAUAGAAAAUACCAUUUUAUCAGACCUUGAAUAGAAGAAGGAAUCCUUGUGAAAAAGAGGGUAUCAUCGGAUGAGAACCCGACAGAUCCCCUUAUGAAGGGAUUGGGUAGGGUUAAGCAUCUCCUGCAGGCAAGGAGAAUAGGGCUGAAGGAUGAUAUUAGUUUUAGUAGUUUGAUAGCUUUGAAAUGUUUAAAUUGUAAUUGACAUUUAUUGAUGAAUAGAAGUUGUGUUUAUUUAUUAGUAAAGUGUUGCUAUCUUUUGUCAAUCGUUUACUAUAGUUUCAAUUUUGCAUGUUUUGACUUCCAUAAUAAUUAUCUUAUUGUAUUUCAUAUUAUUCAAAUUCUUCAUAGUUGGUUAUAUGUUGGAAGUAGAUAUGAAUCCAGAUUGUCAUGUAGUUAGUUGUAGAUGUCUAAGGUGUUGGACAUUCAAACUGUUGCUACAACAGUCACGAGUGCUCAUAAGUUCUGAGUAUUGGAUUCAACCCAUGCUCACUGGUAUCACUUCAUGGAAUUUAUCUCAAGUGAUUGUGAGACGUUAAUAUCAUAUAAGUAUUCAAACCUAGAGAUAUGACUUGUUGCAUGUGAGUUGGUUAUACAUUGAUUGUAUGAAAACACAUUGGUAUUUCGAUGUUAUAAAACGUGCCUUUGUGUAUGAUUCAAUAAGUAGUAGAACAAGCAUAUGAGUCGAAGUUUAUCUAUUCGUUCUUGGAUUAGAAGCGUUAUCUGGUCCCCUCGAUGAUUUUGUUUUGACCCAUGUACCGGGCUCGAUCAGAACUAAGUUGAUGUGCUCAAUUAAGUUCUAUGUCAAACAAAUCGUAAAUCAGGAAACAAACUGCUGGACAAUAAGUAAGACAUUGUUCCAUGUAUUUGUCCCACUGAUAUCUAGAACAGAGGAUUAUAUGAUCACUUAUCUUAAAUGGCGUAUCAUCAUCAUCUUAGUUCCGCGAGACCUUGAAAGAGAUACGAUUGCCAAUCGGUUCCUGAAUUCAUUCUUGCAGUUAUAGUUAUUAGACUUAUCCAAGUGAGAGACUGUUGGAUUAGUUGUCUAAGUUCAUAACUAUUUCUAGAUUGUACUUGACCUGGUUAGCAUGGUCCAUUUGGGUUGCAUGGCAUUGAAACAUUUGGAUAGACUAAAUGAGUGGAAGGAAACUUAAGGAUUAUUAAUAUAUUAUAAGUUCUAAUAUAUUAAUAAUAUUAUUUAAUUAGUAUUGAUCAAAGAAUUAAUUUGGAAUUAAUUAAGUGAUAAAAAAGAGACUAAUUAAAUAUAUGGGGUUGAUUAUGUAAAUCAUCUAUUCUUGUAUAGUGGGCUAAUGAUCCAUGGUUUGUAUGGAUUGAGUUAAAACCCAUAAGGUGCUCCAUGGAUAGUCCAUGGAGGUUACAAGCCCAUGGAUCAUGGAAUAUGGAAAGCCAUGACAAUUAGGAUUUACAUGGUGUAACCCUACUUGUGCCACAACUAUAUAAAGACCCAUAGACUACAAAAAUCGGCACUACUACAAGUAAGAAAAGAGGCCUAGCCGAUUUUAAGGUGUUAGUAAACUUCUCUCAAGGAUAUUCCAAGUGUUGUAAUGUUGUGGGAGAUAUUUGAGGCAUCACACUUGAGGUGCUAUGCUCACAAGGUUCUCAAGGAAUCCAAACAACAAAAGCUAUGUUCUUCUUCUAGAAUUUAUGUUUCAAAGUUCCCCAUGCUAUGCUAGAGAGGUUAAGAACCUUGGAAAAUCAAUUUUGCAUGUAUCUUAGUAAAACAUAGAUCCAAGGUUUCUAGGGUUGCAUGUAUACCUUAGGAGUGUUAGAAUGCUCAAACCCUCCAGUUUAUACCCAAAUAGACCAAGAAUAUGGGAGAAAAAGGGCAUAAACUCAUAAUCUAGCAAGAUCUAGCAACACAUUUAUCAAGGUGUGAACUUUAUACUUUGUGACGAUGGACAAAGGGAUCAAAGAUUUGGAUCCAUACCCUGAGUGCACCAUAACUCUAACUAUGGCCUUCCUUCACUAUCAGAAUACACCAAGAAUCACUUACAAGCUCCAAAACUCUCUCCGAGGGAUUAGGGUUACGAGUUAGGCUAAAAGGGAUGUAAGCUGGUCAUAAGAAAGUCCUCCGAGGGUUUAAGUCUUUAAAUCGGGGUCAUAACCUUAAAUUUACGGUUUGCACCCUGUGCGACUAUGCCCUGUGUAACCAAGGUUACAUCUGACAUGUGUCAUAACCCCCCAUAUCGGUUUAAUAGAUUACGCCCCAUGUAAUUAACCAUCUAGGCUCAACGUAGAAGUGUAAGUAACCAUCUCCCCCACUUGAAUCAGACUUCAUCCUCGAAAUUUGCUGAUGUAAAUAACUCGGUGUAAUGCUCUCUGAUCUCAACCUUCGCUUCCCAUGUCCAUUUGGAACCGUUCCAGUGCUGCCAUUGCACCAUCACCUAAGGAACGGGUGUUACAUGAGAAGUAAAUAAAUAUGGUUUAUCCCAUAUUAUUUAGAAGGAAACAAGGUUACAAGUUGUACAGAUGAAGUGCAAAAAGAAUUCAAUAAAUCUAUUCUGCAACACUACUUAUAGUGUUAUCAAUGGAUAAAAAAUAUACUAAGAGACUUCCACAUUAAAUACAAAAUACAAAUGCUCCUAUAAAUACAAAGAUAUAUUGAAGUUACGUAAACUAUGAUAUAGGCAACUACACUACUGCAUCAAUCAUAGAAUUCAUAAAAAAAUUUAAAAUUUAUAAAAUAUUCAAAAUCACCAUUGUUUACAAAUUGUUUCCAAAAUAAGAUUCAAAUCAGAGAUAUCCCAAAAUCGUGAAAUAAAAACAUAAGGAGGUGCACGAUCACGCCUUCGCCUUUCCACGCUCAUCUGAAGUACCUGAAACGUAACCAAAAACUAUAAGCCCAUAGCUUAGUGAGUUCCCCUAAAAUACCAAUACCACAACAGACACAAAAUAGCAGCAUACUAUGGGCCCAAUCAACCAUCGGGCUGGAAUACCCCAGGCUCUCAACCAUCAGUUUGGAAUGCCAAAAUUCUAUGGGUCCAGUCAACCUUGGGGUUGGAAUACCCCCAAACCUCAACUAUCGGGUUGGAUUGCAAACAUACUAACGGUCGAAAUAUGUGCAUAUAUAACAAAUAACCAUAGAACAGUCUACAUGCAGUCAAGCUGAUCUGACAUACCACUAGGAAUAGCAUCAUCCAAUCUACUAGGAUACCGAUCUAACUGAUCAUAAUAGCGUAGCAACAUGCAUAAUAGGAUAUUAAUCCGAUGGGCCAGUGCUGGUGCCUUUGACCCGGAAGUAUAGUAAGGAAAACUCGCCUCACAAGCAGCACUGACUGAUAAGAUCCAACUCUCGAAUCUCAGCUCUUGAAUCAAAUGCCUACAACCAACAUAUGACCAUCUCUAUCAAAACUCCGAAAUACCCAAAGUGCUCUCAAAAGUCAAACUUGGACAACCAUGGUCAAAGACAAAGUCAUCAUUCAAAGUCAACCGUUUGUGUUGACCUAACUUGUCGAGUGCAUAAACCAACUCAUCGAGUUCCUUCAGUUCUUAAAGAAACGGGGAAAACCCGGGCCAACUCGCUAAGUUAUCAGGGCAACUCGUCGAGUUCUACAGUUUCCAGAAAAGCUAGAAAACCCGAUCCAACUCGUCGAGUUUUCCCAGCUUAACUCAUUCAGUCCUUUUUCAUCCCUUCCAAUGCUCACGAAUAUAGAUAUGGAACCUAAGAGCUGGGAAACCAUGUGAAGUUACUAACUAUACGUCCAUGCAUACCAUCAAGAGGCUUGAAAAAUUUAAGCCUAAGGUGGCCACAAAAUGUCCAGAUCUGAAGUUAUAACUUCAUGACAUGCUGAAAGCAAGAACAAACCCAAAAAUGAGCCAAAAUGAUAAUAAAAUUCGAAGGAAGAUAUCUAAGUGAUAGAUGAGCAAGAUUUCGAAUUUUUAGCUCAAAAGAGUAUCUAAACUCAAGAAGAUUUUGUAUCUAAAUCUUCCCCCUUGAAACUAUGCACCAACAACUCCAAGUGUGACAACCCCAAACCUAUUCCCGUUACAAAUCCCAUCUUCACUAACGGAAUGCGUCACCCGAGUAAAAAGUUUUAACCCCGUUAAACUUUAAACAUCGGGUAGCCGUGUAUCGGGUACGAUACCCGAGGCAUAUGAAAUGAGUGUAAACAACAUUUAAACACUCUUUUACCACACAUUCACUCUCUCUCACUACUUUCUCUCUCUAAACCCGAACCUGACUCCAAAACUACGAUUUCCGACUUCCAAAUGUAAGGAUUUAAUCCCUAUCUUAUUCUAAACAUACAUCAUUGUAAUUAGAGGCCAAAAAUCAUAGAAAACAAGGAUCAAGAGGGAGUUUACGGCCUAAGAAGCCCCUUAGGCCGUAAACACCUAAAAACCUACCAAAAGUCUUGUUUUUCCUUCCUUUAAGCUCAUAUACUAAUUAAGGGUUUUGCCUAGGAGAGUUUGGACAUUAAAACAUAAUGAAUUGUGGCCUAAAAAGGAGUUUACGGGCCAAGCUUAUGCUUAGGCCGUAAACACCCAAAAAUCUUGGAUUUAUGUCCCAAAAACUCAUCUAGGGUGUUUAGUAAUUUAGCCUUGACACUAGGAAAUGUUUAAGUACAUCAAACAACACCAUUUGAGGACAAAAAGAGGAGUUUACGUCCAAGCCUAAGCUUAGGCCGUAAACACCCAAAAAUUUAUGUCAAACAAGUCCCAAAACAUAUCUAGGGCAUGUAAGGAAAUUAGCUAAGGCCCUAGGAAGUGUGUUGUACCAUUAAACAUCUCAUUUUGAUGCCAAAUGAAGAGUUUACGGCCAAGGCUAUUCUUGGGCCAUAAACUCCCCAACAUUUAUGCCAAAAUGUCCCAAAACUCCUUAUAAGGACUUCUAGUAUUUAUCUAAGAUGAAGGAAGGGGUGUUGUGCCAUUUAAACAACCAUUUUGAGGGAUUAAAUGGAGUUUACGGCCUAAGAACAAGCCUUGGCCGUAAACUCCCCAAAAUGUCACCAAAUGAGAGUUUAAACCCUCCAUAUUAGUUCAAGACACUUGCUAGUAAAUUAGAGAAGUGAAAUAAGGCAUUAAACUUGCAUUUUGGAGGACCACAUGAGUUUACGGCCAAGCCUAGGGGCCUUAUGGCUGUAAACUCCCAAGGAGUGGCCUUUGGUCCGUAAACUCCAAGGGAGUGAGCUCAUGGACCCUCCCGUAAAUCAUUCUUGGCCUUGUACCACUCCCGGGAACCCCUUCUAGGCCCUAAAACCCCGAAAACGAUGCUAGAAUGUCCAAAUACUAUAAUGAAAAGCAUAAGAUGAUUAACUUCUUGUAAAAUACAUAUUUCAUAUGACAUUAGGGUCCUAAAAGGUGCUCAAGUCGUUAUUUGGUACCAAACGCUCAACCGACACUUUUACCCGAUUUACCCGAUUCACCCGAUUUACGCGAUUUCAGGUGAGUUCAUACCCCUUUAAUGAACCUUUCAAAUGUUUUAAAUUUUUUAGGGUGGAGAUACAAGUUGCUUAUAGAUGUUUAUGAAAAGUUUUACAGAACGAUUUUCCACGCUACGAGGAUUAAUCACAUGUGAUUCACUAUUCUUAGUUUAAAUCACAUGUGAUUUAUCACUAUGCCUUAUAAACAGAUUUAUACAUUUUCAAAACUAUUUUGGACAAGCAAGACAGAUUUUAAAUGUUCUUUUGGAAAAUACUUUUAUUAAAUCAAUUUACCUUUAUAAUGUAACCACUCUGAUAUAUUUAUAUAAGUAUGAGUUGGAGGACUUAGGACCGAUAUCCCGCCUUAUUUCCUAUUCUUGUUUGAUUGUGGGCUUAGGGUAGUAGUUAUCUGUCCGACUGUCGUUGAUUUCUUAGUUAUAUAACUUGUAUAUUAGUAUGGGACACGAAUAUUUCUCCUUUCACUAGAUACUAAAGUCACUAACAUGUCAAGAACCAUCUACACUAAAUUAACUAUAAUAGGUAUAGUUAAUGUUGCCACUACUACUACUCGCUAAAGUCACUACUCUCUACAUUAUAAUACUUACUAUUACCAGACAAUACACUAGUAAGAGAAUACACUAUGAUCAAUACUAAAAGAUUACUACACUAUAAUAAAAGAGAAAACACUAAACAAACAAUAAUACACUAACCCACUACGAGUUACUCUAUUCGUUACCCACUACGCCCGGAGUUUUCCGACUGGAAGACGACACUACAUGUAUAGAUCUAUACGGGGCAGACGCUAUCAUAUCCCGACUGUUAAUUUCAGUCCGCGCCGUGCAGGCCCAGGGAUGCCACUACUUCACUAUACUGUGCAUGACUGGGAAGGUCAUGGGAUCCUCUAUUAUCCUCACUAUUAGUAAUAUACAAGGAAUACACUAUAACUACUCUAAAAUACUACACUAAAUGCUAAACUACAUCCCGAAGUAAGUAAGUAUCUAUCACUAAAGGAAGCUUGCACCUCUAUCACUGAUUACAGGCUUAACCUAUUCUAUCACAUUNUUUGGAGAUUUGCUAAUAUACUUUUACAAUAAACUGUUUUCAAAAAUGAAGAAUGCAUAAUUUUCACAGAUUUUCACUUACAAUGUAUUUUCUCGAAAAUAUGGGAUUUUCUAGGUUUUCUACUGCUGAUGAAUAUAAAUGGCACAUUUUUUUCGCACUAAUGCUUUUUAUACAAAAACUCACACUAAACUCUUAUGAACUCACCAGCUUUAUGCUGAUAUUCGUUUUCAAAAUAACUUGUAUCUUCAGGUCAAAGAUAGACAGGUGCGGACGCAGCAUUUUUGGAGAAGGUGGAGUAUACAAGACCCACCUCUUAUUUUUUAAUUACUUUUGGUGUUUGUUGAGCAAUAUAAAACACUCUUGUAAUUAAAUUCACUAUGUAAAUGAAACGGUUGUAUGUUUCUUGUUUUUACUGUUAUGCAAUUGUGAUGAUACUGCACAUGACGUCCUCCACCCCGAAGCGUAUUCCGCCGUUAUCGGUUUUGGGGUGUGACAGAUUGGUAUCAGAGCAUUGUUUAUAGUGAAUCAAGUAUAUCAACCUAUAAAAGAUAUACGAACUAUAAACACUUCGGGACUAAAACACUCUGACCAAGAAUAUAUACUGUUAAGUAUCUAAAAGAUCUAACUAAGUAUAUAUAUACACACAUCACUAUGAAACACAGGAAUCAGUAUCGUCCUAGAACAAAACAAAAGUAUUAAGAUUGUUGGGCAGCACAAUUGGGUUUAGAGACAUAUAGUCACAUUCAGGAUGAUGUAGCCUGAUCAACUACGUUUUCCUGAGGGUGACUAGCAUGUGCCUAAGUUUGGUUGUGAUGUUGCAACAAAUCUAAAACUUACCAACAAUUCCAUAAUAACACUACCAUAAGAAUACUAUAGGAGUAUUCUGUAUCUCUAGAUUAUACGUAUGUGAUAACAAAAAAAAAAGGGGUCGUUACUAGUGGGACAAUAGUUGCUAAGUGGAUACACCACGAUUACAUGUGAUUGGGGCGCUAUAGACUCAGAAUCUGCAGCCUUUGCUUCAUUCCCUGUUCUUGUUUGAUUGGGGGUCUGAAGUUAGGGUGGUUUAUUCGAAGGACUAUCUUGCUUCGGUUACAUGUAAUCGGUAUGCACUAUGCAAGUAUUGGGUCAACUGGUAAUGAUUCCUCCUAUAAGUAUCUUAGAAUAGUACGUCUAUUAAUCUUCUUUCCCCCUUUCUCGCGUAGAUAGCAUGGCUGGCUUCCACCUACCCGGUGAUCCGUACUUUCCGAACCAGGGCAAUGGAGGAUGGCUCGAAGAGGAGUCAGACGACGAUCACCCUAUUCCUUUGGAUGAUCAUCAUGCUGAAGGCUUCUCGGAUAGCUCGAGCUCCGAGCCAGAAGUCAACAACCAACCUCCUGAAGCCCCGAACCCUAACCCCCGACCGGCAUUUCAGGGCCCCACUCCUAUGUGGGCAAUAUCCUUGCGUCGAUGGAGCGAGGAGCAGGGUCAGCCCUUGCCUUACAAUGGAGACCGAAGUUUCUACAACAUAAGCGAAGGAGGAUCAGCAGAUCGGGUUCUGCCCAUCAUGAUCCGAAGGAUUGCCAGGAAUGUUGAGCAAGGUCAAGCUGCUAUUGGUCGAGUUGUAGAAGUGGAUGCCAACUCAAACCUCAACACUGUUCGCAUCCGCCAACUCGAAGAAGCCAUGGACAGGACAAGGAGGACCAACGAGGCUCUGCAGCAUCAGCUGGCUGCAUCCCGAGCUGAAGUUAGGGAACUCCGAGCACGCCAAAGGACUCAUGAUCGACACCUUCAAGAAGUUAUGCGUCAACUAGCGGAUCUGAGGAUUCGCCUAACAAGCAACCGUCGCCAGUAGAAGACGUCAAAUUACCGCACUCUUUUGUUUAAAGGACUAGCCUUUUUACCUCUAUGCUCCGUAGGUCUCUUGUCUGUAAACAUUCCUAGUUUAAAAGUACUCUAGUUGAACCUCUAAACUGCCAACAUUUUCUCUAUGGUAUGAUGUAAGACCUACUGCUAGGUCAAUUUUCAUGAACUUGUGUUGCAUCAUUAAUACCAGUAUAUUGGCAGUUGAUUUCUCUCUUGCUAUGACUCUCAUACUGAUCUUGGAUUACGUUGAUUUAAUCCAUGAAACACUCUAUUCAUAUUCGCAAUAGGCUCUUACUAUUGCUAUCAUUUCUAUGGUUUUCCAGUGAAGGAUACCUCCUCGAAAGCGUCCAAACCGAGGAACACCAUCUACUCAAACCCCUCCUCCACUACCUCCUCCCCCGCAGUUCGAUCCGGUGUUGUUCCAAACGGCUGUGACUGUGGCUGUAACAGCAGCCAUGGCCCAAAUGAACUCGGGAGAUGUGAGCGGUGGUAACUCCAGGUUCGGUGAAGUCCAUCAGAGGGUGCAUGGAUGCACUUAUAAGGACUUCAUGAAUUGUAAACCUGCUUUCUUCGAUGGUACCGGAGGAGUUUUGGCAUUGUCCCAAUGGUUUGAAAGAACCGAAGCUGUGUUUGAGAUGUGCUCUUGCCCCGACGAGAGCAAAAUCAAGUUCGCUACUGCUACCCUCACUAACAGGGCCUUGUCAUGGUGGAAAGGCCAUGUCAACGCACUCUCCUUGGUCACAGCCAAUGCCAUGGGCUGGGACACUCUAAAGGAUCUCAUGAGAGGAGAGUAUUGCCGUAGGGGCGAAAUUCAGAAGCUUGAGGAUGAACUCUGGAACCUCAAGAUGAAGGGGACUGACAUAGCAGCUUACACUACUAGGUUUUGUGACUUGGCGGCUAUGUGUCCCAAUAUGAUCCCGUCCGAAAGCAAGAAGAUUGAACGGUGCAUCUGGGGUUUAGUGCCCCCGUAUCGAGGAAAUGUUCUGGCUUCACGCCCUACCACUUUUGACAGCGCCAAGGAAUUGGCCCAGAGUCUGAUCAACCACGAAAUCUCCUCCACUCCGGCAACAACAACCACAACAACCACUGCACCACCCAGAUCAUCUGACAGAAAAAGGAAAUGAUGGGAUAAGAAGAAAGGCAAGAAAACUCAAACCGCCUCCAAAGACCAGCAAACUGUGGCUGUCCAUGCUGCCACCACCCAAGCUACACCAACUGCUCCAGCCCCACCAAAAGCUUACAGUGGAAACUUGCCUAAGUGUCCCAAGUGCCCUUUCCACCACAACGGUCCUUGCCGUGAAUUGCAGUGUUCCAACUGCGGCCGAAAGGGCCAUAUUGUCCGAUUUUGCAAGGCCCCUCCCAAACCUAUCACACAGGUUCCUGGUACGGGAGUGACCCCAACUUGUUAUGGCUGCGGUGAGGCGGGCCAUUUUAAGAAGAACUAUCCGAAGGCUGCAAAUGCUGGGGGAACUGGAAGGUUACUUGCUAUCGGUCACAAUGAAGCGGUAGCCGAUCCCACGGUGGUCACGGGUACGUUUCUUCUCAACAACUCUUAUGCCUGUGUCUUAUUCGAUAGUGGUGCAGAAAGAAGCUUCAUAAAUCAAAACUUUAAACACUUACUCAAACAAACCCCUCAACCACUAAAAGAAACAUUCGUUGUAGAAAUGGCUAAUGGGAAGACAGAAAGCUCUAAUGAAAUCUAUAUAGGUUGUACUAUCACGUUAGAUGAUCACCCCUUUUUAAUCGAUCUUAUACCAGUCUCAAUCAAAAAUUUCGAUGUCAUUGUUGGUAUGGAUUGGUUAAGUCUUCACUACGCCGAUAUCCUAUGCUCCGACAAAGCCAUUCGCCUGAACCUUCCGAAUCGCGAAACCCUAUUGAUAUACGGAGAUAAGCCAAGUACGAGCCUUCGUAUCAUCUCUAGUAUCCAGGCUCAGAAAUACUUGCGCAAGGAAUAUCGCGCCUUUCUUGCUCACGUUGUCGACACUAACCAGAAAUCGAAAGAUCCAAAAGACAUUCCGGUAGUAUGCGAUUUCCCUGAUGUCUUCCCGGAGGAUCUUCCAGGCCUACCUCCCAAACGACAGGUUGAAUUCAGAAUCGACCUAAUCCCAGGAGCUACCCCCGUAGCUAAGUCGCCCUACCGUCUAGCGCCCGCCGAAAUGCAAGAACUAUCCGGUCAACUCAACGAACUGCUCAGCAAGGGCUUUAUAAGACCGAGCUUCUCACCUUGGGGAGCUCCGGUCUUGUUCGUGAAGAAAAAGGAUGGAUCGUUUCGGAUGUGCAUCGAUUAUAGGGAACUCAAUAAACUCACGAUCAAAAAUCGCUAUCCUCUCCCUCGUAUCGACGACCUAUUCGACCAACUCCAAGGAGCAAGUUACUUCUCCAAGAUUGAUCUUAGAUCGGGGUAUCAUCAGUUACGGGUGCUUGAGGAAGAUGUUCCAAAGACAGCCUUCCGAACCCGCUACGGGCAUUUUGAGUUUGUAGUGAUGCCCUUUGGACUGACUAACGCCCCUGCAGUAUUCAUGGACUUGCUGAAUAGGGUGUUUCGUCCAUAUCUAGAUCACUUCGUCAUCGUCUUUAUUGAUGAUAUACUCGUCUACUCUCGGAGCGAAGAAGAGCACAGAGACCAUUUACGACGAGUCCUGGAAAACCUACGAUCCGAGAAGUUGUAUGCGAAGUUCUCUAAGUGCGAGUUUUGGAUCCAAAGAGUUAAAUUCUUAGGGCACAUGGUUAGUGAAGACGAAAUCCACGUGGAACCCUCCAAAAUUAAAGCUAUUGAGAACUGGUCAGCACCAAAGACGCCUACGGAAAUUCGUCAAUUUCUAGGCCUCGCUGGCUACUACCGCAGAUUCAUCCAAAAUUUCUCUCGGAUUGCGAAGCCUCUCACUAUGCUAACACAGAAGGGCGUAUCAUUCGACUGGGAAGAGAAACAGGAGAAGGCAUUUCAGACAUUGAAGCGAGCCCUAUGCACCGCACCAGUAUUAUCCCUUCCCGAAGGGACAAAAGAUUUCGUCGUAUAUUGUGAUGCAUCCAAUCAGGGGCUCGGUUGUGUCUUGAUGCAACGAGGUAAGGUUAUCGCCUAUGCCUCGAGGCAACUAAAGACCCAUGAAGUAAACUACACUACUCACGACCUCGAGUUAGGAGCGGUCGUUUUCGCACUAAAAAUCUGGAGAUACUACUUGUAUGGGACGAAGAGUGUGGUGUAACUGAUCAUAAAAGCCUCCAACAUAUAUUGAACCAAAAAGAGCUCAACAUGAGGCAACGUCGAUGGGUCGAGCUACUUAACGAUUAUGACUGUGAAAUCAGAUAUCACCCGGGGAAAGCCAACGUAGUGGCAGACGCCUUGAGUAGGAAGGAGUAUUCUGGUCGAAGGACCAAGACAUUGACGAUGACCAUACAUUCACAUCUAUCCACGCAGAUCAAAGAGGCUCAUCUGGAAGCCUUAAAGCCUGGAAACGUGACGAGAGAAUCCCUGCGCGGAAUGGAUAAAAAUUUGGAGGUUAAGGGUGAUGGAGCAUACUACUUCAUGGACCGAAUCUGGACUCCACGCCAUGGAGGUUUCAGAGACUUAGUCAUGAGGGAAGCACACAACACUCGUUACUCCGUCCACCCGGGUUCAGAUAAGAUGUAUCUGGAUCUCAAAAAGCUAUACUGGUGGCCGAACAUGAAAGCGGAGAUCGCUACCUUUGUAAGUAAGUGCCUUACUUGCGCGAAGGUCAAAGUCGAAUAUCAAAAGCCAUCAGGACUCCUCCAACAACCUGAGGUACCAGAAUGGAAGUGGGAGCGAAUCACAAUGGACUUUAUCACCAAGCUGCCCAAGACAGCAGGUGGAUUAGAUACCAUUUGGGUCAUCGUUGACAGGUUGACCAAGUCUGCACACUUUCUACCCAUCAAGGAGACGGACAAGAUGGAGAAGCUCACUAGAACAUAUAUAAAAGAAAUAGUGCGACUGCAUGGCGUCCCUAUAUCUAUUAUAUCAGACAGAGAUAGUAGAUUCACCUCUAGAUUUUGGCAAUCAUUGCAAAAGGCACUAGGGACGAGGCUGGACAUGAGUACAGCCUACCAUCCGCAGACUGACGGACAAAGUGAGAGGACGAUCCAAACCUUAGAAGACAUGCUGCGAGCUUGUGUGAUCGACUUCGGGAAAUCGUGGGAUACACACUUGCCUCUUGUGGAGUUUUCCUACAACAAUAGUUAUCAUACGAGCAUCAAGGCAGCUCCAUUCGAAGCCCUCUACGGCCGGAAGUGCAGAUCCCCUUUAUGCUGGGCUGAGGUGGGAGACACUUAGUUAGCUAAAGAACGAGUUCCUGACAGCGCCCUCACUGGUCCGGAGAUCAUUCGAGAGACGACCGAGAAGAUUGUGCAGAUACGUGAAUGACUAAAAGCCGCUAGGGAUCGGCAGAAAAGAUACGCCGAUAAACGAAGAAAACCCUUGGAAUUCCAGGUAGGGGACCGAGUCCUUUUGAAGGUCUCGCCCUGGAAAGGCACGAUACGCUUCGGAAAGCGUGGAAAGUUAAACCCAAGGUACAUAGGGCCAGUCGAGAUUCUCGCCAGAAUCGGCCCCGUAGCUUAUAAACUCAACUUACCCCACGAGCUAAGUAACAUACAUCCUACCUUCCACGUCUCAAACUUGAAGAAAUGUCUGUCUGACGAGACUCUCGUGAUCCCCCUCGACGAGAUUGAGGUCAAUGAGGGCCUCAACUUCAUGGAAGAGUCUGCGGAGAUUUUGGAUCGGGAAGUAAAACGGACGAAACAAAGCCGCAUCCCAAUUGUGAAAGUUCGGUGGAACGCCAAGCGGGGACCAGAAUUCACUUGGGAGCGCGAAGAUCAAAUGAAACUCAAAUAUCCUCAUCUCUUUGCUUAGUAGUAUUGUAAUAACUUAUCUGUUUGAAUUCUAAAUUUUGGGACGAAAUUCCCCUAAUGGGGGGAUGAUGUGACAACCCCAAACCUAUUCCCGUUACAAAUCCUAUCUUCACUAACGGAAUGCGUCACUAUACGUUAUUUUCUGUAAUAUUUGGAAAUCGUCAAUAACCGAAUAUCUAGUUAUUUGCAUGUCUUGAUAUUAUCAUAAGUAAAUAUAACUUGUAUGUGUUAACCCCGUUUAACCUAAUAGAGUUAUAUUACUUUUCAACCACUUCACCCGGGUAAAAAGUUUUAACCCCGUUAAACUUUAAACAUCGGGUAGCCGUGUAUCGGGUGCGAUACCCGAGGCAUAUGAAAUGAGUGUAAACAACAUUUAAACACUCUUUUACCACACAUUCACUCUCUCUCACUACUUUCUCUCUCUAAACUCGAACCCGACUCCAAAACCGCGUUUUCCGACUUCCAAACGUAAGGACUUAUUCCCUAUCUUAUUCUAAACAUACUUCAUUGUAAUUAGAGGCAAAAAAUCAUAGAAAACAAGGAUCGAGAGGGAGUUUACGCCCUAAGAAGCCCCUUAGGCCGUAAACACCUAAAAACUUGCCAAAAGUCCUGUUUUUCCUUCCUUUAAGCUCAUAUACUAAUUAAGGGUUUUGCCUAGGAGAGUUUGGACAUUAAAACAUAAAGAAUUGUGGCCUAAAAAGGAGUUUACGGCCCAAGCAUAUGCUUAGGCCGUAAACACCCAAAAAUCUUGGAUUUAUGUCCCAAGAACUCAUCUAGGGUGUUUAGUAAUUUAGCCUUGACACUAGGAAACGUUUAAGUACAUCAAACAACACCAUUUGAGGACAAAAAGAGGAGUUUACGGCCAAGCCUAAGUUUGGGCCGUAAACACCCAAAAAUUUAUGUCAAUCAAGUCCCAAAACUUAUCUAGGGCAUGUAAGGAAAUUAGCUAAGGCCCUAGGAAGUGUGUUGUACCAUUAAACAUCUCAUUUUGAUGCCAAAUGAAGAGUUUACGGCCAAGGCUAUGCUUGGGCCGCAAACUCCCCAAGAUUUAUGCCAAAAUGUCCCAAAACUCCUUAUAAGGCCUUCUAGUAUUUAUCUAAGAUGAAGUAAGGGGUGUUGUGCCAUUUAAACAACCAUUUUGAGGGAUUAAAUGGAGUUUACGGCCUAAGAACAAGCCUUGGCCGUAAACUCCCCAAAAUGUCACCAAAUGAGAGUUUAAACCCUCCAUAUUAGUUCAAGACACUUGCUAGUAAAUUAGAGAAGUGAAAUAAGGCAUUAAACUUGCAUUUUGGAGGACCACAUGAGUUUACGGCCAAGCCUAGGGGGCUUACGGCCGUAAACUCCCAAGGAGUGGCCUUUGGGCCGUAAACUCCAAGGGAGUGAGCUCAUGGACCCUCCCGUAAAUCAUUCUUGGCCUUGUACCACUCCCGGGAACCCCUUCUAGGCCCUAAAACCCCGAAAACGAUGCUAGAAUGUCCAAAUACUAUAAUGAAAAGCAUAAGAUGAUUAACUUCUUGUAAAAUACAUAUUUCAUAUGACAUUAGGGUCCUAAAAGGGUGCUGAAGUCGUUAUUUGGUACCAAACGCUCAACCGACACUUUUACCCGAUUUAUCCGAUUCACCCGAUUUACGUGAUUUCAGAUGAGUUCAUACCCCUUUAAUGAACCUUUCAAAUGUUUUAAAUGUUUUAGGGUGGAGAUACAAGUUGCUUAUAGAUUUUUAUGAAAAGUUUUACAUAACGAUUUUCCACGUUACAAGGAUUAAUCACAUGUGAUUCACUAUUCUUAGUUCAAAUCUCAUGUGAUUUAUCACUAUGCCUUAUAAACAGAUUUAUACAUUUUCAAAACUAUUUUGGACAAGCAAGACAGAUUUUAAAUGUUCUUUUGGAAAAUACUUUUAUUAAAUCAAUUUACCUUUAUAAUGUAACCACUCUGAUAUAUUUAUAUAAGUAAGACUUGGAGGACUUAGGACCGAUAUCUCGCCUUAUUUCCUGUUCUUGUUUGAUUGUGGGCUUAGGGUAGUAGUUAUCUGUCCGACUGUCGUUGAUUUCUUAGUUAUAUAACUUGUAUAUUAGUAUGGGACACGAAUAUUUCUCCUUUCACUAGAUACUAAAGUCACUAACAUGUCAAGAACCAUCUACACUAAAUUAACUAUAAUAGGUAUAGUUAAUGUUGCCACUACUACUACUCGCUAAAGUCACUACUCUCUACAUUAUAAUACUUACUAUUACCAGACAAUACACUAGUAAGAGAAUACACUAUGAUCAAUACUAAAUGAUUACUACACUAUAAUAAAAGAGAAAAUACUAAACAAACAAUAAUACACUAACCCACUACGAGUUACUCUAUUCGUUACCCACUACGCCCGGAGUUUUCCGACUGGAAGACGACACUACAUGUAUAGAUCUAUACGGGGCAGACGCUAUCAUAUCCUGACUGUUAAUUUCAGUUUGCGCCGUGCAGGCCCAGGGAUGCCACUACUUCACUACACUAUGCAUGACUGGGAAGGUCAUGGGAUCCUCUAUCAUCCUCACUAUUAGUAAUAUACAAGGAAUACACUAUAACUACUCUAAAAUACUACACUAAACGCUAAACUACAUCCCGAAGUAAGUAAGUAUCGAUCACUAAAGAAAGCUAGCACCCCUAUCACUAAAUACAUGCUUAACCUAUUCUAUCACAUUACUAUUUGGGGAUUUCUAAUAUACUUUUACAUUAAACUGUUUUCAAAAAUAGAGAAUGCAUACUUUCCAUACAUUUCACUUACAUUGUAUUUUCUGGAAAAUAUAGGAUUUUCUUGGCUUUAUACUCCUUAUGAAUAUAAAUAGCACAUUUUUCGCACUAUUGCUUUUUAUACAAAAACUCACACUAAACUCUUAUGAACUCACCAACUUUAUGCUGAUAUUCGUUUUCAAAAUAACUUGUAUCUUCAGGUCAAAGAUAGACAGGUGCGGACGCAGCAUUUUUGGAGAAGGUGGAGUAUACAAGACCCACCUCUUAUUUUUGAAUUACUUUUGGUGUUUGUUGAGCAAUAUAAAACACUCUUGUAAUUAAAUUCACUAUGUAAAUGAAAUGGUUGUAUGUUUCUUGUUUUUACUGUUAUGCAAUUGUGAUGAUACUGUACAUGACGUCCACCACCCCGAAACGUAUUCUGCCGUUAUCGGUUUUGGGGUGUGACACCAAGCUUCUUCAAGAGAACGCCAAGGAAACACUAUAUAAGCUAACACACACUCAAAAAUGGAAGAGAAGACACAAGGAUAGGGUUUCUGGAUAGAGUGUGCGAUUAGGGAGGCGAACAAUGGGAAUUAAAGCCUUUAAAUAGGGUGCAACACCCUAUAAAUAAGGGUUUCAUAUUUAGCCACCAACUCCUCGAGGUUUCCUUCUCCAAAUCGUCUAGUUUUUCAUUCUUCAACACGUCGAGUUGAGGCCAUCAACUCGAUGAGUUCCAAUAAAAAAUGUUUUUUUGAAUAAAGUUCUCAUACCUGGGAAUCAAGACGUUACAACUCUCCCCCACUUGAACUAGGCUUCGUCCUCGAAUCCUGCUGCGGUGAACAAGUCCGGAUAAUGCUCUCGCAUCUCAGCCACCGUUUUCUAGGUCCUCUCAGAUCCCCUCUGAUGCUGCCUCUGUACCUUUACCAAAGGUACCUCAUUGUUUCGAAAAACCUUUAACUUCCUUUCCAGAACUGCCACCAGCCUCUCAACAUAGUUAAGGCACUCAUCAACCUGAAUGUCAUCGAAUGGUACCAGCGAUUCCUCAUCCAAUACGCACUUUCACAGCUGCAAAACGUGGUGCUAUGAAUCUAACUGAGCUCCCCCAUAAGAUCCAAUCUAUACACAUCCUUGCUAACCCUGGAGAUAAUCCGGAAUGGUCCAAUAUAUCGAGGGCCCAACUUCCCCUCUUCCUGAAGCGAUUCAUACCCUUCCAGGGUGAGACCUCUAGCAACACCAUGUAACCGACCUGGAUCUCAAACUCAGAUCGUCGCCAGUCGGCAUAACUCUUCUGUCGAAUCUGAGCAGUCUGCAAUCUCUGCAUGAUCUAUUGAAUCAUAUUUGUAGUCUGUAGAACAUCCUCGAUCCGACCCUUGACCCUAUGACCAACCUCCGACCAUACAAUAACUCAAAAGACGGAGCACUAAUACUAGAGUGGAAGUGUUGUUGUAGGAGAACUCUACAAACGGUGGGUAGCAGUCCCAGCUCCCACCAAAAUCAAUGACGCAGACUCGCAACAUAUCCUCAAGAUUCUGAAUGGUCCGUUCGCUCUGGCCGUCGGUCUACGGAUGAUAGGUUGUACUAAAGUGCAGCCUCGUGCCCAGUUCCUCAUGGAACUUUUUCUAGAAACGAUAGGUGAACCGAACAUCCUAGUCUUAGACAAUAGAGACUGGAACCCCUUGGCGUGCAAUGAUCUCGCGAAUAUACACAUCGAUCUACUUCUCGGCCAACGAGCGCUCCUGAAUUGCCAUAAAAUGGGCACUCUUGGUCAAUCUAUCCACGAUGACCCACAUAGCAUCCAAACCCCAUGCUGUCCUUGGCAACUUGGUGAUAAAAUCCAUUGAAACCUACUCCCAUUUCCACACGGGAACCUCCAAUGGCUGUAACUUGCCAUGCGGCCUCUGAUGCUCGGCUGUGACCAUACUGUAGGUCAAGUACCUCUCAACAUACCAAGUGAUCUCUCUCUUCAUGCACGGCCACCAAUAACUCAAUCUUAGAUCCCGAUACAUCUUGGUAACCCCCAGAUGGAUAGAAAAGCGAUAAUUAUGAGCCUCCUCUAACAUAACCUGUCUGAACCCUCUAGAAAGAAGAACCCACACUUGACCGCAACGGAUCAACAAACCCCGACUAUCCGGCACAAAUCUGGUGAUCUCACCCCUGAUCCUCUCAAUAUUCCAAUUCUCCUUUCGAACACCCUCAAUGUAAGCAUCCAAAUCAAACCAACAAGCGGAGAAUCCAUAGAUAUCCUCAUACAUGCCAGCUCAAUAGAAGGUCCAGCCGUCUUGAAGCUUAGUGCAUCUGCUACCACGUUUGCUUUACCUAGAUGGUAAAGGAUCUCGCAAUCAUAAUCAUUGACCACGUACAGCCACCUAAGCUGCCUUAUGUUCAGGUUCGGCUGAUCCAUAAUAUUUCUCAAACUCUUGUGGUCCGUGUAGAUAGUACAACAGACCCCAUAAACAUAAUGCUGAAAAAUCUUUAGAGCGAAAACCACACGCUCCCAACUCAAGGUCAUGUAUGGGGUAUCUCGUCUCAUGCGGAAUUAGCUGCCGCGAAGUAUAAGCUAUCACCCAUCUUCUAUGUAUGAGGACUGCUCCCAAGCCCGUGAUGGAUGCAUCCCAGAAUACCACAGUAUCCUCAAUUCCCUCUGGAAGGGUCAAAAUUGGGGCUCAUAAAUUCUUUGCUGAAGGGUCUCAAAUGUUGACUGCUACUUAGGUCCCCACCGAAAUUCCACCCCCUUCCUCUUCAGACAAGCCAGGGGUACUGCAAUGUUGUAUAAAUCACGAAUAAUCUCCGGUAGUAACCUGCCAAACCCAGAAAACUCCUGAUAUCCGACGGAAAUUUCAAAAUAUCCUACUGCAACACCGAAUCCAUUUUGGAUGGAUCAACCGAAGUCCCAUCUUGGUCAAUGAGGUGUCCAAGGAACUGAGCCUCUCGCAACCAAAACUCACACUUCGAGAACUUAGCACAAAGUCAUUCUCGCCUCAAAACCUCUAGGAGCUCGCUAAAGUGAUCCUCAUGCUGCUCUCUAGUCUAGGAAUAUACCAUGAUAUCAUCAAUAAACAUGAUAACCGAGCGAUCGAGCAUCGACCUACAUACCAUAUUCAUUAAAUCCAUGUCCUCCUCCUUCACCUUGACCUGAGGGUAGCAAGACCUGAGAUGUAUCUUGGAGAACCAAGAUGUUCCAUGAAACUGAUCAAAAUGAUCAUCAAUCCACGAAAGGGGAUAACAGUUCUUCAUCGUUAACUUGUUCAACUCCCAAUAAUUGAUGGAUAUCCGUUGUGAAUCAUCCUUCUUCCUGACAAAUAAAAUCGGAGCUCCCCAUGGAGACUGCUCGGACAGAUGAACUGCUUCCCUACCAGCUCCUAGAUCUCAGGUGGUGCCAAUCAGUAUGGCGCCUUGGCAAUAGGGGCCACACGUGGCAAAAGGUCGAUCCUGAACUCGACCUGCCUCUCAUGAGGCACACCAGGUAACUCCUCAAGAAAUACAUCAGCGAACUCCCUAACAAUUGGAACAUCAGCAACUGAUACCUGAUCCCCAACCCGCGUAUCCACCACAUAAGCCAAAUAACCUACACACCCGUGCUGAGUAUACUACCGAGCCCUACCUCCCAAACAAAACCCUCAACCUAGUAUGGUGCCCUCUCCAUAAAUAACUAGUUCUCCCCUACUUGGGGUUCGAACUACCACACGCCGACCCUCACAGUCGAUCAUGGCACCAAAUCAACUCAACCAGUCCAUACCCACGAUCACACAUACAUUCCCCAUAGGAAUCAGAAUUGAAUCGAUCGAAAAGGACACCCCAAUGAUCUCUAGAACACAUCCCCGAUAAACUAAAAAGUAGAAACUCGCAACGGACUCUCCAACUCCCCCAUGGGGAAGAAAACUCCCUACUAAAGGACUGAGAAACAAAGGACCGACUCCCACCUGAGUCAAAGAACACUAAGGUAGGCAUGGAGUUCAUUAGGAAUGCACCUAACAUAGGUACAAACAUGUAAGCAUAAAAUAAACAUAAUCAAUCAGAUAAGGAAUAUAACCAUACCAUUCACGACAUCAUGUGCUCGCCUGGCCUCCUCGGCAGUAAGCUAGAAAGCAUGACCUCGAGCCUUCGGAGGCUCCGCCCUACCCUGACUUCUGUUAGUGAUCCUCAAAGUAGUUGGCAUUGGAUCUUGCGCUGUUCUGGCAGCUAGCAAGGGACACUAAGCCUUUAUAUGGCCUACCAACUCACAAUCGUAACAAAUUCUGACGCCAGAAGAUGGAGUCUACUAUAUACAAUCCUUCGCAAUGUAGCCCUGUUUGCCACACUUGUGGCAACCCAAUGAAGACCGACAAACCCCAUCAUGCACCUUUUCGCACUUCCCACAAGUGCAACCCCUCUAACUUCCAGACCUAGAAUCACCAUCCUUGAACCACUUUGGCACCGGCUACGACUACAUCGGGGCCUGCCUAUGCUCUUUUAAUUGAAGCUCUAUCUCAAGCUCACGCCACCUGGCGGCCUCCUGUAACACCAACAAGGUAUCACACCGCUGAGUAGAAACAAAUUGUCUAAUGCCCGUCUUAAGCAUUCUUAGAUAAUGGGUCAUCUGAGCUUGCUCCGAAGCAAACUCAAGGCAAAACAUCGCUCUAUGUGUGAACAUUUAGGUGAUCUUCGUAACCGACUCCGAUCCCUGCCUCUGGUCUAAAAACACUUGAGCCAAUCUCUCCUGAUUGAGCCGAGGAACAUAGGGAGCAAGAAACAUCUCCCUGAAUUGAUCUCCUGAUACCGCAACUGUCACACCCCCGAACUAGACGGCGGAAACGUCCGGGGGCUGUUGUGACUCAAUUGAAUACCAUCACAAUGAAUAUACAUGAAACAUAACAUCAUUCAUCACCAAGCAUUGGAAUAUUACAACUGGUAGCAUUUACAUUCAAUACAUAGUCUCAAAACAUUACAUUCUCAAAAGUAGAUUGUUCAAUACUAGUUAAACAACAACAAGACAUCACUGAGUACAUUUUUCCCUUCGGUUUACCGGUUACCUGAGAAUACAAGUAUUUUGAAAAACGUCAACAUAUGAAAUGUUGGUGAGUUCAUAAGUAAUGUUUGAUAUAUAGUGGUUUGUAUUGUUUGAAAAUCACCAGAAAAUCCGAUAUUUUCUGAAAAGAACUUAGUAUAAAAAGUGUGAAGAUCCGUAAGUAUGCUUGUUUGUUUCUAUAAAUGUAAGAAUACGAUUUGUAAGACUCGGUAUGUAAUUUGGAGGUGUAUUAAUUGAAAACCCUAGGAAAACCCGACGUUUCCCUAUUACUUUGCAUUAAAUAAUUUAUGUUUUGUUUCUUCGUUACGACAGGUGUAUUCGUUGAGCUCCGUAGACGUUGGAUUAAUUGCGGAUUGUGAAUUGUUGUAAAUGUACAUUAAUGAAAAUGACCAGUUGACAACCGUACAAACGAUCCCUUAGGCGUCGUUUGCACUAUUCACUUAACCCAACCACCCGGACUCAUGUAGCCCCACAACCGAGGGGAAAAGAAGAGGGUGCGAAACCCCGGUAUUUCCCUACGUCGUUCAAGGCUAUCGUGAAUGCGAAGGACCCUUAGUCCGACUCGCAUUUGGUGAAUUCUCGACUUUACUAGCAGCACCAGAAGGCCCUUGGGGUCCAACAGCACAAAGCCUGUAAAAGUCCUUUUACACGAAAUUAGGUCAUAUAAGACCCAACUACAUGUAAGCGAGUUUCCUUCGGGCCUAAAGAUCAUGCCAUUGGGCUAGCUAGGCCCAACAAACAUGAUUUGAAACUUUUGGGCCCAAAGACGGUGUAUCGACGUCUGGUGUAUUCCCGCGUGUGUAUUGAGUUCCCGAGAGUUUCAUGUGUGUAUUGAAGUGUCGUCGCGUUAGUAGUUUCGGAUUUGUUAUUGAUUCGAGACCGAAUCAAUUCGUUUGAUAACGAUUUUGGUGUUGAAGGUGUAUUAUAAUUUGCCGAUAGUCGAGAUGUUAGAAUUUCAUCAUGACGGAUUUAUUAUUUACAACUUUAGGAUGUUUCAUUAUUGCAGCCCCUUUUCUUUUGGAUAAUUUACACAUUUAAUCCUUUACAUAAAAUAAUUUUUAUUUUAGUCCUCAAACUAUUUUUCUUGACACUUUAGUAUCAAAACAUGUAGAAAAGUUAUUUUGCAGCCCAAAGUUAUUUGAAAAACAGUUUUACUCCACCAAAAGAAAUUUUUCUCGGCUAGAGCCCUUAAUUUAGCAGUUUUUACACUUUUGGCCCAAAAUAGAAUAUUUUUGCAUUUUUGGUCCCUUUUAAAUAUGAAAAGCAUUUUUAACCGUUGAAAUGGGCUUGGAGCACUAGUAGUCCCCUGUUUUACAGAAAAUCACAGCGCCAGCCCUUCUAAUUUGAAAAUCUUGCAUAUUGGGCUUUAUUGCGCCGAAAAGUUCAUUUUUGGCCCAUUAUGCUUAAAAAUUCACAUUUUAAUCCUUCCAAGAGAAUAUUUCCAGAAAAAUAACUUAUGGAAACUGUUUUGAAUCAUUUCAUCCUUCAGAAUUUGUAUUUUGACAUUUUGGGCCCUUUAACUUCUUAUUUUUAACAUUUUGAGUCCAAAAAUGGGAUUUUUAGCCCAAUAAGUUCAUGUUAACCAAGUUGGCUAUUUUUCUAGAAAUGAUUUGUGUAUAGAAAUAUGUUUAACACUUGUUUCAUACAUCCUAAUGCAAAUCUCGAUUUUAAGGGCUUUUUGACUAGUUUCAACACCAUAAUCACAUAUAAACAUGUAUAUAAGCAUAGAAAUCAUACAAAGCAUACAUAUACUCAUAGAUCUACACAUUUGCUUGUAUUCCCCCCCCCCACAAAACUUGUAAAAACCGAAAAAUAGGGGGUAUGAAGCUCACCUUUGGGUGUGGUUUCGGUUUUGGAGAAAAGAUGGAAGAAAAUGAGGUGAUUUUCGGCCCCUAGCACACCUUGAUGAAGAUCUCGGCCUUGAGGUGUUUCUAGGAUGCAAGAUCAUGAUUUUUGCAUGGAUUAGGAAGAGAUUUUUGAUAGAUCAAGGAACUUAGAUCAUAGAUUUAAGUAUAACCUUACCUUGGAUGGUGAUUCUUGUGAAAAAUCUCCUUGAAAUGCCCUUGAAUCUUCGAAAAUUUAGUGAAGAGAGGUGAAGGUGUUUUUGAGAGUGUUUGAUGUGUGAAAAGUGAUGAAGUGUGUGUGUGUGUGGGUGCUUUCGGCCGAAGUCAAGAAGAAGAGAAGAGAGAGAGGUGAGUUGACAAUCCUAGAUGCAUGUUGGUCCAUGCAUGGAGAUAUGUGGGAUAUAAGUGAGGUGGCAAGGAUUAGGUCAACUCCUUUCUUCUUGGAUUUGGGCUUUGGGCCGAGAAUUUGGAAGGGAAGGAGAUCAUUGGGCUUUAAUGCCCCUAAGCCUAUAUUAUAGUUAGUUUGGAUGAUUUUUGGCCCAAACAAAAAUAUAAUAUGAUUUUUACACUUUGUUGGGCUAGUUUGAGUUAAUUAUGAUUCAUAAUAUUUAAUUUAUUUCAUUCUAGGCUCAAUAUGGCCCAAAAUGUUGAAAUAAAUAAAUGUGGGUCCAAUUAGAGCCCAUUUAAAGGUUCUAAUCUCAUGAUAGUCAAAUUGGAGGCUUAUUGGCCUAAUGGGUCCAAUAAGGAAGUCCUAGUCCAAAGUGGACUUAACAAGAACCUCUAGGGUUUCCAAUUGAUUAUUGACUAUUUGUAGCACUUGUAUGGUGUAUUUGAUUGAAAUUCUGUUGUCAUAGAGUAAGUAUCAUACAUGCUUUUAAGUUUUUGGAUGCUACAUUUUACUUGAGUGUAGUGAUUACAAAACACAAAAUUUCUAGUUGUGACAGCAACCCUCUGCUCAUCUGAGUACAAUCCCGUAACAAGUCUCCACUAAUCCUUCGCUCUAGACCUUAAAUGUUUCAGAGCACACCUGACCUUCUGGUCAGCAGGGGAUGAACACAUGAAGAAACACCCCUCCACAUCAGAUAGCCACGUCAUGCAACAAUUGGGUCCUGGACUCCAUCAAAAUUAAGGGGCUUUAUAUUAUCGAAGUCCUGAUACUGAAAGGCUCGACCUGUCGCAACACCUGUAGCCGCUACGGCUGUGGAAGCUGAUGGAGCAGCCAUCUCAGCAAUAGUUGUGUAGCGAUCAUCAAAAAAAUCCAUCAUCGUAGUCUUGAUUGACCUGAAUAUCUCCAGAAUCUGACCCCGGACAAUAGCAACCACCUCCUUACGGAUGAUCUCCCUGACACGGUCCUUUGACAAUGUUGGCUCGCCCUAACUGCCAUCUCCCGAUCCCGACCUGGAUCGGGUCUUGAAUCGUAUCAUAACCACCAUAUUGAAAAUACACCAGGAAAAUACUAGAUAGUCCACAUAAAUAACAGGGAACCAAUUCCCAAUGAAGCCCUAGGGGUUGUGACUUUCUUGCUACGCAUACGGGUCCUGUGCUUUCAUUAGCACGAGCCCAUACUACCUUCCACACCUAUCCGUGUUUAUCUCAAGAAUCAUCACAACACCCUAACAAUACUCAUAAGCAUAAACGAAUACGCAUUCCUCACACCUAGAGGAAAACUAAGCAUCUCACUACUCGCUGACGGAACCUUUACGACUCAACCAUGAAACUUCCACCAAACCUACAACACUCAUGUGUGCUAGCCAUACAUAACACUAUACCCUUUAGACAUUCGAAUAUAUGAUCCUACCCUAAGCCCUUCAUUAAACAAGAACAGGAAAUAAGACCAAACCAAAUAUCCUCAGGAUAUAUGAUCUUAGUUAUAUAUAACCAUGAUGCAUACAAUAAGCGACUAUAGUAAUGAUGUCAAUUUAAAAAAAGAAAGGCCUUAGGCUAUCAGGAAUCAUAUAAUCAAGCAAUUCUAUCGUGCAAUUCCUGAAGAUCCCUAGGCUAUCACUAGCAUGUUGUUCUAACAUAUCAUAAUAUCAAACUAUAGUAUGGCAUUUAGGGGUCUACCUAAUGGCCCCGGCUGAUCGUACACAUCACAUCCUCUUUUAGUAUUUGAAAACCGUUUGAAAAUCAUUUUGAAAAUCCUUUCCUUAGUUUGAGACUGGAUUCACACGAGUGUUACUCCAAUUCAUCCAAACCAAGACUCUGAUAGCAACUUGUAAUACUCAUAAACCUCAUGAAAAAUUUUCAACGUUUUAAAACAUUCAAAAUCACCAUUGUUUACAAACUCAUUCCAAAAUAAAAUUCAAAUAUGAUAUAUCCCAAAAUCAUGAAAUAAAAACAUGAGGAGGUGGACGAUCACGCCGUCGCCUUUCCACGUUCAUCUGAAGUACCAGAAACAUAACCAAAAACUGUAAUCCCGUAGCUUAGUGAGUUCCCCCAAAAUACCAAUACAACAACAACACACACAUAAUAGCAGCAUACUAUGGCCCAAUCAGCCAUCGGUUUGGAAUGCCCCAGGCCCUCAACCAUCGGGUUGGAAUGCCAACAUUCUAUAGUUCCAGUCAACCUUCAGGUUGGAAUACCCCCGACCCUCAACCAUCGGGUUGGAAUGCCAACAUACUUGUGGUCCAAUCAUCCACGGGAUGAAAUACCCUCGGCUCUCAACCAUUGGGUUGGAAGGCCCCGACAUGUUGGCUGACGCACAAAGCAGAAAGCCUCAACCAACAAUCAAAUAUUUGCACAUAUAAGAGAUAAUCAUAUAAUAGCCUAUAGAAAGUUAAACAAAUCUAACGGACCACUAAAUAAACCAUCAUCCUAUGUACUAGGAUACCGAUCUAAUAGAUCAUAAUAGCAUAGCAAGAUUCAUAACAUAAUAUUAUUCUAUUGGGCCGACGUUGGUACCUUCGAGUUGCAAGUACAGUGAGGAAAAACCACCUCACAAGAAGCACUGAGUGAUAAGAUCCAACUCUCGAAUCACAUCUCCUGAAUCAAAUGCCUACAACGAACAUAUGACCAUCUCUAUUAAAACCCCGAAAUACCCAAAAUGCUCUAAAAAGUCAAACUUUGUCAAACUUGGACAAAGUUAAAGUCAACGGUCAAGGUCAACAAUACAUGUUGACCUAACUUGUCGAGUGCAUAAACCAACUCGUCGAGUUCCUUCAGGUCUUAGAGAAACAGGGAGAAUUCGAGCCAACUCAAGGAGUUAACAUGGCAACUUGUCGAGUACCUACAGUUUCUAGAAAAGCGGGAAAAAUCGAUCCAACUCGUCUGGUUGUCAGGACAACUUGUUUAGUUUUCCCAGCUUAUCUUUUUUAGUCCUUUUUCAUCCCUUCUAACACUCAAGAAUAUAGAUCUGGAACCCAAGGGCUGGGAAACCACAUAAAGUUGCAAACUUUAUGACUAUGUAUACCAUCAAGAGGCAUAAACACUCAAACAAGUCUCAUAAAGGAACAUAGAAAAUAAAGGGAGCCUAGAUCUAGAUAAAACUUGAAACUUUAAGCCCAAGGUGGCCACAAAACGUCCAAAUCAAAAGUUAUAAUUUCAUGACAUGAUCAAUCCAUGAACAAACCCAAAAAUAACAAUAGACUUCGAAGGAAGAGAUCUAAGCAAUAGAUGAGCAAGAUUUCGACUUUUUACAUUAAAAGAGUAGCUAAACUCAAGAAGACUCUGGAUCUAAAACUUCCCCCUUCAAACUAUGCACCACCUACUCCAAGCAUCUUCAAGAGAACACCAAUGAAACUCUAUAUUAUCAUAUACACACUCAAAAAUGGAAGGGGAAACAUGAGGCUAGGGUUUCUAGAUAGAGGGGGCGAUUAGGGAGGCGAACAAUGGGACUUAUGGCCUUUAAAUAAGGUGCCACACCCUAAAAAUUAGGGUUUCAUAUUCAGCCACCAACUCGUCCAUUUUUCCUUCUCCAACUUGUCGACCUUUUCCUUCUUCAACACGUCGAGUUGAAGCCAUCAAAUCGACGAGUUCCAAUGGAAUACGCCUUUUUAAUAAAAUUUCUUUACCUGGGAAUCGGGAUGUUGCAACUAGCCUAUGACAUUAUAGAACAAGACUUUGUAUAUGAAUAUCUUUGCAACAUAUGACCUAUACAUUCUUUCCCUUUGCAAAGAGUAUUCAAUUCUUCCAAUUAUUGGUAGUGUAUUUAUCGCUUCCAUUAUUCUCUUAUUUAUUUCACGGUACCAACAAAAAAUCUCGCAAAUGUCCUAUCUCUCUGCAUUAUACUUUUUCUUGCAAUUAACAAUUAUGAACAAAAGAUUGGUUAAGUUUGUUGUAAAAUAAAUGUCCUUCACGUUUGUAUUUUAAAAAAUGGUUCUUAGGGUUCUUAAUAUUUUUGUUUUCUUAUAUAUAUAUAUAUAUAUAUAUANNNNNNNNNNNNNNNNNNNNNNNNNNNNNNNNNNNNNNNNNNNNNNNNNNNNNNNNNNNNNNNNNNNNNNNNNNNNNNNNNNNNNNNNNNNNNNNNNNNNNNNNNNNNNNNNNNNNNNNNNNNNNNNNNNNNNNNNNUAUACAUAUAUACAUAUGUGUGUGUAUGUUGAGUUAUAAAUUUAAUCAUGUCAAAAAUUCAGUAAAAAAAUGAACACCAAAAUGUAAAUAAAUAUGUUUAAGCGCGUAUUUACUCUGGAAGUAGUAAAUAUUACAAGUUUAGAAUAUGUCUGAAUGGGUAUCCAAUAUCCUAGACUACAUAACUAUUUAUAGUUCUAUCAACAGAGUAAAAAAUUAAAAUGUGUCACCGACAUCAAAGGACAUAAACAUAAUUACAAACUGAAAUAAAAGGAUAUAUCGAAGGUGUGUAAGCUUCAAUAUAGACUAUAACCCUCUGCUAAUAUAUUAACCUAUUUUUUUAUAAUAUUAGUGAUAUUUAUGAACUUUGUUAUGAAAUUAAUCAUAUUUAAUUUUUAAAAAUUCAUCAAAUCAGCAAUUAAUGGUACUUGAUUAAUCCCCGCCUAGCCGAUUAAUCCAUUUUCCCAGUCCACUAAUUAGCUAACGUCGAGCAUUUUUUAUGUGACAACCCGAAACUUCUACCUGGUACAUCUAGUUAGUUAAUCUAAGUUAAACACGUUUCUUUUAACUCCUACCACUGAUUAAGGGUUCAUUUAAGCGCUCUAAACUUGAGUACAAACAAGGCGAGAUUAGGAACGAGUCAGCAAGUCAAAGAGUGACGAAAUCGGGCUAUACACCCCUUUUGGAAGAGUGUGCGGCUGCACACAUGAGUGUACGGCCGUACACACCCCUCAAAGCCACACACCCACUCCUAUAUAAAGGGUAGACUCCUUUCUCUUCAUUCCUUUCACUCCUUGGCAGCACACUACUCGUUUUCUCUCAAGAUUCUUCAACCGCAAACCCUCUCAAGGCCUAAAAAAUAUGAGUUUUCAAUCACCCAGCUUAUCAUACUUGAUGGAAUUAUUAAUAUAAGCCUUGAAACAUCAUGUUCUUGACUCUUUGAAGGAGUUCGGCCGCACACCUUCAUAAGGUGGGCCGCACACUUCGAAAUGACCCUCCAAAGUGAGAGUUGGACUUCCAUAUUCGAGUUGAACAUGAACCUACUUUUGCUGCACCUUGUAAUUCACAUUUUGGACAUCUUCAUGUGGUGUGUACAACCGCACACACCUAUGUACAGCCGCACACACCCUUGUGCGGCAGCACACUCUCAUGUUCGACCACACACACACCUUAGGACCACAAACCCACUUCGAGGACCCUUAGCUUGCACUACAAUCGAGUAUAGACCUAGAACACUUCAUGGAUGCAAUUAUGGACCUUGAAAACACCUCAAAAUCACCUUCUAUCAUGAGUGUACGGCCGCACACCCAUGGCCGUACACACCUUUAAGGUGGCCAUACACCUCCCUCAUCCAACCCUUUAAGGUUCUAGCAGCCCGUGCAACUAGUCCCAUCACAUUUAGUAGAUAAAUACCUUCAUUUGACUCUUUUAUGUCUCAUUACAUGUUAAUUAGGAUCUGAUUGUGUUCAAGGCUUCACUUGAACAUGCCGCAUCCCGUAUCGAUCUUUCGUUCGAAUCGCCCAAGGUGAGUUCAUACACCUACGCCUUUCCAAGUUUUCAUGUUUUUUGGGGUGGGGGGGAAAUACAAGAAAAAGUACAAGGAAACUUAUGCUUAAAAGAUAUUAUUUUGUUUAAGAUAAUUAUAUUUUUAGUAUGCUUUUAACAUGGAAAAUAGUUUUAACAAACGAUUAACAAAUCAACUCGUAGAAACAGUUUUCUAAACUAGAGCAUUGAACUUAUGAAUAAGGUAGCAAAAUGUAUCGUUUUAUAAAGGAUUCAUGUUAAUCACAAAAGGAUUUUCUAUAUUAUUACUUGUAAAUUUGUUAGUAUAAGUUGGACACAUGUCCUUGGUAACACUCACCACAAGAAACAGAGUGUAGGAGAGCGCGACUGUUGUGUAUAGAUCUAUACGGGACUGACAAUCCCGCACCUUGCUGAUAGCUACAGUCGGACCGGUAGGUCUACAGGUGACAAAGUCAUAAAGGAUACCGGCUGUUGCGGGCUAUAUCCAGUCAGUUAUGGUCAUGACACUAACAACCUAGAUAGCAGAGAUUUACUUUUGUAAUAAUGAAUCAAGUGAACUAACCUCUAAGUAAUAACCGAUUUAAUUACUAUAGGGUAUUAAUAGUACCUUCACGGUUUAGUUCAACACGUUUUAUUUUGAUUAGUUUUAUUUAUAAAUUAGGGCUAAUAUACCUCACUGGGAGUCACGAGGGUUUUUAAAAGGGAACUACGUUUACUGAUAUAAGUAUGCUAGAUACUUGUACACCUCAGUUUAGAACGGAUAACCAACCAUCUAGUUUUAGGGAAAAUAUAGGAUUUUCCCAGCAUAACUCGGAUAUUCAUAAACGGAUUAUUUAUACAUGUUAGUAACGGAUAUUCAUAUUCAUUCCACGACUCCUUGGAUUGGACAUACCUUGUAUGAAUCUGGAAGUCAUGGAAGGAAUGGAUUUUCAAACACGCUUUUUAUCAGAAAAUAUAGGAUUUUCUUGAGGAAAACUUUUCAAAAGGAUUCAAGGAAACAUUUUCCAUCAAAACUAAAUGCUUAUGAACUCACCAUCUUUAUGAUGAUAUUCUUUCAAAACUACUUAUAUUCUCAGGGAUUUAGUGGACAGGUACUUCCAAGAUUUGGAGAAGCUGGCACGUUAGAGUCUCGUUUUUCCCUGUUUACUUUUGAUAAGAACAAAACUUUGUAUUAAGACAAUGUAAACCUUUUUCAUAUAUGGAUUCAAUGUUUUGUUGUUUAUAAUAUGCUUGCUAUAACACAACUGUUGUGAUACUACGCAUGACCUCAACCACCCCCGAACGUUUCCGCCUUUACGGUUUGGGGGUGUGACCGAUUGGUAUUAGAGCCCUUGUUUAAAGCGAAAUAAGUAUACCGAACCUUACAUGGUAUACAACUAUAAAUACUAUGGGGCCUAACUGCUCUAAACUAAAAGCAUACUUUCCAAAAAUAUAAAUAUUUUUACAGCAAAGUAUAUAAGUAUACCCGAGUACCAAAAUCCAUGUCAUAAAUAGAACAAAACAAAAGUAUUUAGAUGUUGGACAUUGCGAUUAAACCUGGGAAGUUAUGUAAUCAUGUCUACGGUCAAUAUAGCCUGAUCAAUUAUAUUCAUUCGAGAGAUGACCAACAUGUGCUUGGGAGUGACUAUGGUGUCGCAGCAAGCCUAAAACUCAGCUAGGUACCAGAAAAUUCUACAAUCAAACAUAAGGGUUAAAAUACUAUAGGAGUAUUUUAGGAUACUAUAACGACCAAACCGGAAACUUACCCAAGGAUCCAUUCUUCAAGAAUCAAGCAUGUAGCUACAAUACAUUAGAAGUAUUAUUAGAUUCGAUGCCUAAUAACUAUCCCUUUACCCCUUAUCUCGCGUAGAUAACAUGGCCGGAUUCCAUCUCCCUGGAGACUCAUACUUUUCCAACCAAGGAGAUGAUGGAUGGCUCGAAGCAGCGCUAGAAGAGAACCAUGAGAUGCCUUUGGACGAUGACUUCGCUGAACCAUUUCCUGAAGAGAUUGACUCAGAACCCAAAGUCGAGAACAUACCUCAAGUAGCCCCGAUACCAAAUCCUAACCCCCGACCUGAUUUUGAAGGCCUAACGCCGAUGUGGGUCGGAAGCCUAGAUAGGUGGAGUCACAGACAAUGCCAACCCCGCUAGUACAAUGGGGAUCACCGCUUCUACAAUGUGAUCGAGGGAGGCUCCGUAGACAGAGCCCUUCGAAUCAUAGUCCGCCGAGUGGCCCGCAAUGUUGAACUUAAGGUGGCAGCCAUCCAGCGAACUAUGGAGCUUGAGGCAGACUCGGAUGCAAACACAAACCGCAUUCAAAAUUUUGAAGUUGCUCACGGGAGAACUAGGAGGGAUAAUGAAACUAUGAAACAAGAGCUAGCUACCACUCGAGCUGAGGUCGUAGAGCUCUGAGCACGUCAGACAGUAUUCGAGAGCAGCCUGCUUGACAUGGAGCGCCAGCUGGCUAACUUAAGGAUACGUCCGAGGAGUGCCCGUCACCGAUAGGAGAAUGCUCUACUCAUCCUUCCUUUUUAGUCUAAGGAAUAAAUUUUAUAUAUGUGUGUUGAGUAGUUCCUUUUUGUAAACAUCUCUGUCCUUCUUGUUGCCAAGAUUAUUUCCCUGUUAGAAUGACUUAGACAUAUUUUUAGGUCAAGAGUUCCGAAACAUGUGUAAUCUCAGUUUCAGUUAUGAUGGCAACAGUUAUAUUUCAGUUAAAGAUUAUCUUUGUCAAAAGUAUAACUUAGAUCGAUAGCAUGCAAAUUAAGCAACUUUAUCAAAGUCCUAUCACUGUUUUGGCCUCAAGACAUGUCUCAUAGGAGGUACUUGGACGAUCAUUCCUUUUCCCCAUCAAUUUCAUAUCAGUAUCGGUAAAAAGCUACGAUGUCAUAGUCGGAAUGAGAUGGUUGAGCCCCAAACCGUGCUGAUGUUGUUUGCAUUCGAAAGGGUGUCUCUUGUUAAUCUUUCCCGCUGAUGAAGCCCUCACUGGUUAUAGUGAUAAAAUUUGUUCGAACCUUCGUAUCAUUUCCUGCACCAAAGCCCAGAUGUAUCUGCGAAAGGGAUGUCAUGCAUUCCUGGCUCAUAUUGUCAAUGAGACGUAGAAAGUUAAAGGCCUCGAGAGCAUCUCCGAAGUCUGCAACUUUCUUGAUGUCUUCCCCAAAGACAUUCCAGGGAUCUCUCCCGCGUGUCAAGUUGAAUCUUGUAUCGACUUGAUCCCCGAAACUACCCUUAUAGCUAAAUCACCAUAUCGUAAAGAGCCGACGAAAAUCUAAGAGUUAUCCAACCAACACAAUGAGUUUAACAACAAGGAGUUCGUAAGUUUAUUGUAUGUGAACUUUAUUGCGUUCAAAAUUUUCUAUUCUUGCUAAGACCACAUCAUGGGGAUUUGGUUCAAAUCAAUGAGAGUCAGAUGGCAAAACGGGAAAUCCCAAUGCGUUGAUAAACAUUUAGGAUACAUCCAGAGGAAACCAUUGUUGCUCACAAGCUUCUUUUCAUGACAUGUAGCAGAAUCAUGCCUCUGAAGGAACGUAACCAACCCACCAGUAAGACACCAGUCCUCCAGAUGGACUCAAUUAAGUUCCAAGCUACUGUCUCAGCAGCCGUAGCAGCUGCCCUAGCUGUUCUUAACGCUAACAACCCAAAUGGGAAUGGGAAUAGUUUCCACACCUCGAACCGUAGCAACACACUAGGAAACCAACAAGGGCUUAUCCAGGAGGACACUCUAACUCCCAAACCUAAGAAUGCCAAACAAAAUUUUUGGAUUGAGAUGAAGUACAAGUCAUCUCAGAAACUUGCCAAGGGACAACAACCCGAUAUAACUCCUACAGCCACCACAUCCGCCCAACCAGUGCCAACGCCAGUGCGAUAAUAUGCUGGAAAACAUCCAAAUUGCAAGAAAUGCAACUUCCACCACGUAGGAAAGUGCCACAAACUUCGAUGUAAGAACGGCAACAGGAAAGGACACACUACACGAUACUGCAGGGCACCUGCACAACCAAACACCUUGAUUUCUGGUGUAAAGAUGUGUUAGGUUUGCUACAAUUAUGGCGAAUCCGGAAAUUUCAAAAGAAAUUAUCCAAGGGUUAAGGAUGGCUAGGAAGCUCGUUUCACAAAGACCUCGACUCAACACAUCACUUCCACUACCAAUGCUAGCGUAGUUCAAGUGUGCUGCAAGUGUGGAGAAAUGCGAUAUUUCAAAAGAGACUGCCCAACAGAGAAGAACAACGAGGAAACAGGAGGAGUAUGACCUCAGGGAAUAAGGAAGCAUCAAAGAAACCUGCUAUGUUUUGGUACGUUUUCAAAAACGCAUAUAAUUUCUCAUAUUCGUGAUUAUUUCCUUGUCAAAAUUAAAUCACAACAUUCUUAUAAGAUUUAAAGCCACAAUGAGUAAGUUAUGACAACUUAGUUAAUACGUUAAUUUCAGUUGUAAUUAUACACGACUUGUGUACACCAAACGAUCAUAAAGAUAUCUAGUAAGAACCAUUUCAUGAAAGUUCAUAUUUUCAAGACAUCAGAACCCUCAUGUUAAUCGUACAUGAGUGAUGGGUUUUGAGCAUUCUAACACUUCCUAAGUGUAAAUGCAACCCUAAUAACCUUGGAUCUAAUUUUGUCUAAUAAUCAUGAAAAGUUGUUUUCCAAGGUUAUGAACCUAUCUAGCAUACAUGGGGUACAAUUUUCUUUGUAUAAAAGAUAGAACUACAUACCUUGUUGUUGAAAGUGUUCCUUGAAAGCUUGUGAACUUGGCACCUCAAGUGUGAUGCCUCAAAUGCUUCACACAACACCAAAUGCAAAGAAUAAACUUGAGAUAAUACUCUAACACAUGCAAAAUCGGCCAAGCCCUCUUAUUUCUUAGUGUAACCGAUUUUGGGGAGAGUUGCAUUGCUUAUAUAGUGUGUUGCAUUAGGUAAACCCUAAUGUUCCAUGACUCUUCAUUUCUAGAUCCAUGGGUUAACUCCAUGGAGCAUCCAUGGAGCAACCUAUGGGUGGAACCCAACUUGAUAAUCCAUGGAGCAUCUUAGUCCACUACAUAAGAUAUGGAAGAUUUACUUAAUCUACCCAUAUAUCUAAUUAGUUAUCUUUUGAUCACUUAAUUAGUUCUAUAUUAAUUCUUGAUCAAAACUAAUUAAAUAAUAUUAUUAAUAUAUUAGAACUUAUAAUAUAUUAAUAAACCAUAUGCGUUAUUUCUCUCAUUUAGUUUAUCCAAUUGCAUGGUGUCAUGAAACCCGAAUGGACCAUGUCGGGUCGGGUCAAGUACUUACCAGAAAUAGUUAUGGACUUAGACACCUUAUCCAACAGUCUCCCACUUGGAUAAGUCUAAUAACUAUAACUGCAAUACUUCAGGAACCGAUCGACAAUCGUAGCUCUUUCAAGGUCUCUCGGAACUGAGAAGAUGUUGAUACGCCAUUUAAGAUAAGUGAUCAUAUAAUCCUCGGUUCUAGAUAUCAGCAGGACAAAACAUGGAACAAUGUCUUACUUAGUGUCCAACAGUUUGUUUCCCGAUUUCCGAUUUGUUUGACAAAGAACUUAAUUGAACAAAUCACCUUAGUUCUGACCGGGCCCGAUACAUACAUCAAAACAAAAUCAUCGAGGAGCCCAUAUAUCAGCUUCUAAUCAGAGAAGGAACAUAUAAACUUUGACUCAUAUGUUUGUUCUACUGCUAGUUGAAUUAUACACAAAAGCACGUUUUAUAACACCGAGUUACCAAUGCAUUUUCGUCCAAUCAAUGCAUAAUCAAUUCAUAGGCAACAAAUCAUAUCUUUAGGUUUGAAGACUUAUAUGAUAUUAUCGUCUCACGAUCACUCGAGAUAAAAUUCCAUGAAGUGAUUCCAGUGAGCGUGGGUUGAUUCCAAUAUUCAGAACUUAUGAGCACUCAUGAAGUGUUGUCUUAUAUCCUGACACCUACAACUAACUUCAUGACAGUCUUACUUCAUAUCUACUUCCAACAUAUGACUGACUAUGGAAAAUUUGAAUAAUAUGUGAAACCACAACAUACUAUUCUGGAAGUCAAAACAUGCAAAAGAAAUUGUAGUAAACGAUUGACAAAAGAUAAUAACACUUUACUCAUAAAUAAACACAACUUUUAUUCAUCGUCAAAUGUCAAUUACACUUUACAAAUUUCAUAAUUUAUCUGACUACUAAAACUUAUAUCAUCCUUCAACCAUAUGCUCCGAGCAUGCUGGAGAUGGUUAACCCUACUUAGUCCCUUCGUGAGGGGAUCUGCUCGGUUCUCAAUUGAUGAUACCCUCUUUGCCACGAGGAUUCCUUCUUCUAUGCGAUGUCUGAUAAAAUGAUAUUUUCUAUCGAUGUAUCUGGAUCUCCCGUGAUCCGUUGUUUCCUUGGCUAAGGCAACAGCACUUUCACUGUCACAGAAAAUUUCAAUGGGCUCCUUUAUAGCUAGUACUACUCCAAGGUCUCCUAUGAAGUUCUUCAGCCAUAUAGCCUCCUUUGUUGCCUUGCUCGCUGCUAUAUACUCUGAUUCACAAGUGGAAUCACCCACUGUCUCCUGCUUGGAACUCUUCCAAGUGAUUGCUCCUCCGUUUAGGGUGAAGACGCAGCCCGACUGAGAGCGGAAAUUAUCCCUAUCAGUCUGGAAGCCAGCAUCACAAUACCCUACAACUCUCAAGUCAUCACUCCCAACGAGGGUAAGGACCCAGUCCUUAGUCUUCCAUAGGUAAUUGAGAAUAUUCUUUACCGCAUUCUAGUGAGCCUUGCUAGGGUUCCCCUGAUACCUACUAACCCUGCUCAAGGCAAAGGCUGCAUCAGGUCGAAUACAAGUCAUAGAAUACAUGAUCGAGCCCACUUCUAACGCAUAAGGCACUCGACUCAUUUCUGCUAUCUCAACCUCAGUACUAGGGCUUUGUUUCUUACUCAAUCUGGCGUUACUCUGGAUGGGUAACUCUCCUUUCUUGGAGUUCUGCAUGCUGAAUCUCUUCAACAUCUUGUCCAAGUAGGUACAUUGACUAAGUCCAAUUAGUGUUUUACUCCGAUCUCUCAAAAUCCUUAUCCCUAGAAUAUAGGCAGCUUCUCCUAGGUCCUUCAUAGAGAAACACUUCCCAAGCCAGGACUUAACUUCCUGCAGAGUUGGGAUGUCAUUUCCUAUGAGUAGUAUGUCAUCCACAUACAAUACCAAAAAGCUAACUAUACUCCCACUAGCCUUGACAUACACACAAGAUUCAUCUUCACUCCUAGAAAAGCCAAAUUCCUGGACUUUCUCAUCAAAGCAAAGAUUCCAUCUGUGAGUUGCUUGUUUUAAUCCAUAAAUGGAUUUCUCAAGCUUACACACUCUAUUAGGGUACUCGUUACUGACACAACCUUUUGGCUGACUCAUGUAAACAUCUUCAGUCAACUUUCCAUUAAGGAAAGCGGUUUUGACAUCUAUUUGCCAUAUUUGAUAGUCAUGAAAUGUAGCUAUGGCUAACAUAACCCUAAUAGACUUAAUCUUGGCUACUGGAGAAAAGGUCUCAUCAUAAUCCAAUCCUAGAGUUUGAAAGAAGCCCUUUGUAAUCAGUCGUGCCUUAUAAGUGUGUACAUUACCAUCCAUGUCGGUCUUCUUCUUGAAGAUCCAUUUGCACCCUACAGUCUUACGACCUGGUACAUUCUCAACCAAGUUCCAAACUUGAUUGUCAUACAUGGAUUGUAUCUCGCUAUCCAUAGCCUCUUUCCAUUUAGCAGACUCAGGGCCUGCCAUGGCUUCCGCGUAGCUGUUAGGUUCAUCCAGACCUACUAGUGUCUCAUCACUAAUAAGUGUCUCACCUUCCGCAGUAAUAUGGAAACCAUAGUAAUGCUCAGGUGCAUUCCUAACUCUCAUUUAAUGCCUCCGAGGUAGAAACUCGUCAAUCGGCUCAACAGGAGUUUCCUCCUCAAGUUGAGGGCUAGGGUUUUAAGUUCCUUCACCACUUGAAUCUUGAACUUCUUCAAGGUCAAUUUGCCUCCCACUGUCUCCUUGGCUUAUAAACUCUCUUUCUCUCUCUCUUUGUUUCUCUCUCUCUCUCAAGACUCCUCUUCUUGCUACAAAGACCACAUUAUCACUAGGUCUGUAGAAGAGGUAACCAAAGGAUCUUUGUGGGUAGCCGAUGAAAAUACAUCUCUCGCUUCGCAAAAGCCUCGCAACCCUGAAUCUUGAUGUGGUCUAGUUUGGGUACUUUACCAGUCCACAUCUCAUGAGGAGUUUUGGCAACUUUAUUUGUAGGGACUAGAUUAAGGAUUUGGGCGGCAGUCUCUAAGGCAUACCCCCAGAAUGAGAUUGGUAGCGUAGCUCGACUCAUCAUGGAACGAACCAUAUCCAACAAGGUUCGAUUACGCCUCUCAGCUACACCAUUCAACUGCGGUGUCCUGGGAGGUGUCAAUUGUGAGACAAUCCUACAUUCCCUAAGAUAGUUGAGGAACUCUGAACUAAGAUACUCACCACCUCGAUCGGAUCGAAGCAUCUUAGUGUUCCUGCCCAAUUGAUAGUCGACUUCCUGUUUAAAUUCCAUAAACCUUUCGAAAUUCUCUGACUUAUGUUUGAUUAAGUACACAUAUCCAUAUCUACUGUAAUCAUCAGUAAAAGUCAAAUAAUAACGAUUAGCAUCCCUUGUGGCAUGUUUGAAUGGUCCACACACAUCCGUGUGUACAAGAUCCAACAAAACUUCACCCCUCUCACAAGAACCUAUGAAGGGUGACUUUGUCAUUUUUCCAAGUAAGCAUGAUUCGCAACUAUCAUCUGACUUUAGGUCAAAUGACUCCAAGACUCCAUCCUUUUGGAGUUGGCCUAUGCGUUUCUGGCUUAUAUGUCCAAGACGACAAAGCCAAAAUGAAGCUUUAUCUAAGUUAUUAUUAUUAGGAGAAUCAAUACACAAAAUAUUAUUUCCUAAGUUAUCAACAACAGAUACAGUUUCAUACACACCAUCACAAGGUAAUGCUUUAAAAUAAAGAAUAUUAUUAAAGAAAGCAUUAAUCAAACCAACUUCAUUAUCAAAUGAAAAGGUAAAACCUUGUUUAUACAAUGCAUGAAAGGAAAUAAUAUUUCUUGCCAUUUCUGGCGAAUAACAACACUUAUUCAAAUCUAAACNACUCACUACUUAGCGAUAAAGUAUAAUGUCACACCCCCAAACCGGAAAGACGGAAAUGUUCGGGGGCGGAUGACUUCAUGUGGUAGCAUAACAAAUGAAUACAUAGUAAACAAAGAAAUACAACCAUCAUAUAUAUAAUUGAAAGUUUACAUUGUUAAAAGGUACACGUUCAAAACCAAUUACAAUAUGAUGCCAAAAUAUGAAUUUAAGCUGACGACGCAGCGUCCCUUCUUCAAAAGCUGUUUGAUACCUGUAAUUACUAAAUCCCUGGGACAUACAAGUAGUUUUGAAAGAGUAGAUCAACAUUUAAGCUGGUGAGUUUCAUAAGUAUUAAAUGACAAUGUUUGUAUGAAAUGAAAUAUUUUGUUCUUGUUUGUUUGUUCCUAGAAAAUCCUAUAUUUUCUACUAGCAUAAAUGUAGUCUUCUUUCAAGACAAAUGUUUGUUUCUAGAAAAUGUAUGUACAUAUAAAAUUUCCAAUAUGUCUGAAAAACCUCGUAAAUCAAUGUGUUUUUAAUACUCCAUGUGAGUUUUAUAACCAUGCUAUUGACUAGAACUGCCUAUACACAACGUACUUUAGGCGUUGGAAUGUUCUGACGUUUGUCACCCCAAAUGGUGGACUGUAACUAACAGUCAGGGCGCGGGGUUGUCAACCCGUAUAGAUCUAUACAUAAACACCAGGCUCCCCCUCCAAGGGAUCUAUACAGGACUUGAAAUGUGUACUCGAACAUACGUGAAGUUAAUGUCUCACAAAACAUAGUAUAAAAACAGAUUUACGUGUUAAAAUGUUCGUUUGUUCUUGUAUAUGAAAGUGACUUCUUGAAAAUUGUGUUUCUAGUAUAUAAAGUUAGUGAUGUUCUAAUAAAACUAUACCUAUUAUAGCUUUCUAAAAUUGUGUCUCGUUUGUUUAGAAAUCCCUAGAAAAUGAAUCACUUGUUAUGAAAGUAUAAAUUUUCCUAGUGUCUAAGUUGAACACAUAUACAUGAAAUCUAAGCAGAGUGUUUAAUUUAUACAUAUAUAACAGCAUUUUUCUAUUCAAAAGAUAUAAUGUUAUCGUGAUAUAUUUUAGAUACGAAAGUUCCCUAUAAAGUUUAUAAAUCACAUAUGAUUCUGUUGAAUAAAAGUGUAUAAUAAAACUUUAUAUAACACACGAUAAUAAUUGUGUGUUUUACUUGUAUUCCCCCCUUUGAAAGCAUGUAAAAGCAUUUAUAGAAUAUUUAAAAGGCUAAUUAAGGGGUAUGAACUCACUUGAAAGAUCGAAGAAAGGCGAGAUGAAAACCGUGUAGAAUUUGUUCUCAGCAAAGCGGAUUUUCUCGGGAUUCUUGGGAAUCUCGGGAGUACAAUUGACCUUCGGGACUUGAGCAAAGUGAUCGGGGCUUCGGGUUAGCACGGGCACGGAAAACGAGGCAACAAAGCAAGAGAAAUGAGAGAGAAUGGCCCUUUUCUUCGGAACCCUAAACCCUCGCAUCCCUUUUAUAAGGGGUGGGAACCGCCUCGGUACGCUGGGUGUACGUGGGUACGCUGGGCGUACGCGUGUGUCACGCAUGAGCGCAUCCUCGACUGCUUUGGACUCCGGAUGGGACGGUGCAUAGCCUCGCAUAGGUCGAGACGUGGACGAUCUGAGGCCUAGGCCUUGAGUACGUUGGGCGUACGAGCUUACGCUGGGCGUAACUCGGCCCCAUCUGAUGACUCGCCUUCGGAUAAUACCAAGGUUAAAUAAUAAAAUAUAUAUUUUAUUUAUUUAAUAAACUUCUAAAAUUCAUAUCUUCUUCAUACGAACUCCAUUUUCGAUGUUCUUUAUAUCCACGCAUAGGUGAGACUACGCUCCACAACUUUCGCUUAGAUUCUGUCGGCAAAUUUUGAAAUUAUUUUUAUUAUUUAUUUUUAAAAGGUCUCGUUUAAGAAAAUUUCGUUAGAAAUUCAUAACUUCUUUAUUUGACGUCUGUUUUUGCCAGACUUUUUACUGCUGAAAUACCAUUAUCGAGACCUUCGAUUCUCGUUUAGGUCAUUCCGGCCAAAAGUCGCUCGAUCUCCGAUUCGAGUUUUUAGCUGUCUGUCGCUAAGCCGAACUUGGAAAAAUCAUAACUUCAACAUACGAAGUCGGAUUUGGGCAUUUUUUUUACGUACGAUCACGGUUUAAUGACAUCAAACAUAGUAGGUAAUUAAAUAGAAACUUGUUGGACAUUUUAUUUUCGAAGUUAAUUUCAUUAUCACAAUAGUGGUUACAAUACUUGACCUUUUUCGUCAUUACAUAGAGUUGUAAUAUCGGGUUGUCACAUCAUCCCACCGUUAGAGGGAAUUUCGUCCCGAAAUUUAAAGUAGUAAAGAUACUAUUGAAUCAGAGAAAAAGAUGAGGGUACUUUUGUUUCAUCUAAUCUUCGCAUUCCCAUGUGAAUUCAGGUCCUCGCUUGGCGUUCCAGCGAACCUUCACGAUGGGUAUGCGACUUUGUUUCGUUUGCUUGACCUCUCGGUCCAUGAUUUCUACCGAUUCUUCCACAAAGUUGAGGCUCUCGUUGAUCUC
rnacentral:lncRNA from 1 species